rnacentral:lncRNA from 1 species
ACCUCAUUACUAUUUAAAUAAUAAUAACUUCACAUUACUAUACACCAUCUCAUUUUUUUUACCCUUCAUAUAUUUGUAUCAAAUUUCAACAAAAAAAAAAUAUACUAAUUAUUAUGAACAACUGUGGACCCCGCAUUUCGGCUCAUGCGUUUCCCACUCGAUGGGCGAGCUCGAUUUUGAUUUGAAAAAUUGAUUUAAUUGGUUAAAAAGAAAUGACUUGGAGUCGCCACUUAUUUUUGUUUUAUUUUUAAAGGGUAAACAAAAUAAGAAAGAAAAACCCUAAGUGCGACUCCUUAUUUUGGAAAAGGUGAUCUACGAAAAACCGGAUCGGGCUCGGGGGUCAGGUUACUUGUCGGGAAGGUACGGUAAAAUACCAUAGCACCCCUCUAAGUCCCUAAAGUUGGGUCUCUACUAAUAAAAUGAAGCAAUCAUGGCAAUUGAUGAGGAAAUCAAUGAAUACACAAAGUGAUCAUGCACACGUGAGAAUCUAAACAUGCAUACCGAAAAUGACCAGAGCGGAUGUGGAUGCGUACCUGGGCAGUGAUCCAUGAAGCGCUAUCAAAAAGUGAGGUUAGUGCACAAUUAAGGAAUAAUUUUGAGCAUGUCAUAGAGCAGGAUAAAUCAACCAUGUAUCAUAAUCCAAUCGAUCUAUCUGUUAAUCGAUCGAUCAGUCACAUAUGUGGGGCUCCCACCAAAACCCGUUUAUUUUGCAUGAAUUAAUCCCACAAAGUCCAUUAAUCUGGAAUUAUGAAAAUUACAUUCAUGCUUAUUAAAAUCAAGAGGAGCAGAAGAUUGUUUGAAAACCAGAGUGGAAUUAAAACUAUUUGAGAGAAAAUUGGAUUUUUAAAAUUUAUUUGAAAAAUUGGAGUCUCGAAGAUCACUUGAAAAUCGGAGUUUUGAAAAUUAAAUUUAAGCAUCAAAAUUUUGGAUAUUAAAUUUAUAAGAAAUUUGAUUUUGGGUAUUGAAUAAAAAAAAUGAAAUUUUGGAAAUUAAAUUUGAAAGAAAUUGGAGUUUUUAAAAAUUAAAUUUAGGAAAUGUGAAAAUUAAAUUUAAGAGUUGGAAUUUUGGAAAUUAAAUUUGAAUUGGAAAUUUGAGAAUUAAAUUGAGGAAUUGGAGUUUUUAAAAAAAAAAUUAGUUGAGAAUCGGAAUUUUGGACAAUUACUCUAGAAUGAAAUUUUUAUAAAAAUUAAAUUCGGAAAUUUGAAUUUUGAAAAAUUAUUUAAAAAUGAAAGUUUUUUUAAAAAAUUUUAAAUUUGGAAAUUAAAAUUUUGGAAAAUUAUUUGAAGACUAAAUUUAAAAGUGGGAAUUUUGGAAAAUUGAACUUUGAUAUGUAUAUAUAUAAAAAAAUUAAAAUAGAAAUGUGGGUUGCACGCGUAAAUAGAAUUAAAUUGGGUUUGGUGGCUGCAUGGGAUAAUAGGAAGAAUGGAAAAUGAGAUGAUAGUGGUGGGACCCAUCAUUUAAUUGAGUUUUCCAUGUCAAAAGUGGCCAUGAAAGAGUGGGCCGGGUGCAAAGGUUACAACUUAUUAAAAAAAAAAGAAAAAAAAACCCUCUCCAUUUUCAACAAUUUUGAGAGGCCUUUUGAACUGGGUUCAUAGAGUUCUGCAAGUGGGUUUUGAGGGGGAGAUUUACAAAUCCGAGCUGUGGGAACUUGCGAACUAUGGCGGGGCCAAUAAAACCACGAUGACCAGAAAACAUGCCUCUUAUAUAUUAAGUUUAGAAUGAAUAAAUGAAUGAAUCCAUGCAUUGGUCUUGUGCAGGGGGGAAAACAAAGAAAACCCAAAACAGGGUAUGUAUACAAAAAAAUUGGAUUAAGCCAAAACAAUCAAAUAGCCCUUCAUAUCUAUACCAAUCAACAAAUCAAUGCUCGGAACAACGGUUAAAUACUUCAGAAUGAACUUAAGCAAAAGCUAAAACAUGGCUCCUUCAAACAUUAAUCAACUAAUGAUAUUCAAAAAAAAAAAACCAACAAAAACAUCAAGUAGCAAAUAAUGUCUGAAAAUAAAAAAUAAAAAAAUAAAAAUAAAUAAAAAUAAAAAUAAAUAAAGAUCUGAAAAUAAUGGAAAAUGAGAGACCUAAUAAUCAUGCCUGGAAACUACCUCCCCAUCAAUGAGACUCGCCCCAAAAUCCAGCCAACUCUAAUUCUCUUUCCUCUCAUUUUCUUCUCUGCCGCAGCCUUUCUCCCUUCCCCUAUUUUUCUUCCACCAAAUUUUCUUUUCUACCCCAAAAACCCCUCCAAUCUCCCAGCUGCUCCAAGAACUCACCAGCCUCUCACCCGUUUUCCUCUCCCCCAGCUUUGGCUUUUCCCCUUCCAGUUCAAGCCCCCCCUCUCUCUUCUUUGACAAGCCAUCACCAGCUCUGCUGUUCACCCAUCAGCAGCAUGGCUUCUUCCAUCAGCAGCAUGGCCUCCUUGCUCUUUUGCUGCCCGUCCAAUCCGGCUUCCCUCCAGCAGAAAAAGGGGUCCCCCCCUCCUUAUUUCAAAAAGAAAUGCAAAUAACUAAAAAAAAUACUCUCUCCCGGGUCCCCCACAAAAGGGGUCUACAACAACAUAAAUAAAAUCGAAUUAAGACUAAUAAUAGAAUAAAUAAAUAGAAAAACCAAAAAUAAAUAAAUCAAUAAACAAACAAAAAUAAAUUAAAAUAGUCAAACUUGUCAUUUUGACAAUUCUUACCUUCCAUUCUUUCUUUUUCCAAUUUUAUUUUUUCGCAUACAUUUUUUUAUAUUUGUUCUUGCUCAAAAUGUGGUUUCAUAUUCAAUCUUUUUCAACACAGUGAAUGAAAUUGUAGUUAGAAAUUCAAUAAUCAUUAUAAAUGUUAGUUCAAUUCUCUUCAAAUAUUAAUUUUUCUUUUAUUAUUUUUUAAAUAAAUAAAUAAAUCGUAAUUUCAUGUUGCCUUACUUUUUUCUUUUAUAUACAAUUUGGUAAUUAUAUGUUUUUUCUUUUGUUAAUUUUUAUCAUUGAUUUGCAUCAUACAACCUUUCUUAUCAAUCCAAAUACACAAAUAAAAUUAAAAGGAAAUAAAUAGUGAAAUACAUAGAAUGAGGCGUGGCAAUUUGUGUUUGUGGAUUGUUCGUGUCGUGUCAUAAACUAAAUAUUCUACUAUAUAACUCAACCAUAACCCCAUGCAAAUAAUAAUUGUAUCAAAAAUAUAAAUUCAGAUAUUAAAUAAUUAUUACUUAUUUAAUUAUUAAGUCAUCUUAUUUAAUAAUCAGGUUAAAUUAGAUCUUACAUAUAUCUAAAUGAUUAAUGUUUUAACUCAACAUGUUUAUAACCUAAUUGACCUAUUUAUUUAAAGACAGAUUUAAAAUAAAUCAAAUAUGGGUUAAAUGGUAUAAAAAUAUAAUUAGGUUAAUAAAUGGAUUAUUAAAUUGAUCAAUUUAAGUCAAAUUUGUAUUAUAUAGGUUAACCCAAAAAAAUACCUAUUUAUUAAGCAGAUUAUAUAACUUGACACAAAAUUUGACCCAAACUAAUUUUGCUCAAUUUAAACCCCCAAAAAGCGUAUUAGAUUUAUGUCAUGUUAAUAAAUCAUAUCAAAUUUUGUCGUCCCCACAUAAAAUGUGGCGAUUGAAUAAUCAUUCAAAAUAAAAAUUAAAAAUUAAAAAUUAAAAAUUAAAAAAAAAAGUAUCUUUCAAUAUAAUGAGCAACUUUUGAAAACUAAGGACCUGCCCAAGUGCAUAACAAAACUCUCAAAUUUAAUAGGUGAAACUUUAACUUCAAGUAAUACCACUUUUAAAAGAAUAUUUAAGUUUUAUAGCAUAUUGUUUAAUAUUAUUUGCAAAUAUAUGAUUUGGAUAGCUAUUUAAUUCAAAUGUAUUCCAUCAAAGUCUGCUGCAAAAUAAAUGAUAAAAUGGUGGUGGAAGAAAAACUUCAAUAUUUAAAAUUAUAAGAAAACUAUUUAACACCUAAUUAAACUUUUAUUCAUUACUUCAACUUUGACUAUUGAUUAUCCAAAUGGCAUUAAUACAACUCGCAAGAUAGUUGGCGUUGAUCCAACUCCAUUUAAUGUUCCUGGCACCCGUGGCACUCAUUCAUGGGAAAUAAAAUAACGAUUGAGUUCAAGAUAAGUCGUAGUAGUCCUAUAAAUAUAGUUUUUAAUAAGUAAAUUUUAGGUUUUUUUUGUUUUUUGUAUCUUUCUUUUUAAAAAAAAAUAUAAAAUAAAUCAUGAUUCCAACUUUUAAAAUAAAAAUUAAUUUUUUAGGAAUAAAAAAUGAGAUAGGGCAUUUGCUUUUCCAAAAAAAUAAAAAAUAAAAAUAAAAAAAUAAAAAGAAAAGAAAAGGUGGAAAAGAAGCGUCACAUGGAUCAAUUGAAUUUCAUGAGCUUAGGAGCAACCCUCAAAAGCCUAUUCAGAGUGCCAGGCAAGAAUUUCCUAGCGAACAAGAAGCAAAUAUCGGUGUUGUUCCCAUUGUACUGGCAAUGACUUUCAGUCCUCAAGCUCUGUAAGAAUUCGACGGUCACAUCUCUUCUCCAAAACCCAGCUGGGUGGGCACCGCCAUUGGACCAAUCAACCCAUGUCAAGCUCCUAUUCGCAUUCCUCCUCCAAAAUUCGAUACUCACAAGUGUAGGCAAGUAGUGCUCGUCUGCAUAACACGAGGCCUCGCAACAUUCUCGGAACACUGCAAAAUAUUUCCGAUCAGAUAUUACCUCAAUGGCUAGGCCACGGUCCAUCUCGAACCACUGGGACCCCUUUCGCCAUUGCCCAAUAGUGACAAUAGGCUUCAUUCUAUGGUCGUAACGGGCACGCCCCACGGGCCCUGGUAAAUCAUAGGCCUCUAUGAAGGAUUUUGUAGAGGCCAUUAAGUAAGAGUAGAUGGUGGAGAAGUUGAAUAGGGGAAUGCAUGACUCAGAGAGGAGGACAAAGCGGUGGUUGGAGAUGUCGAGAAGUGCAUUGGCUAAUAGACGGCGCUCGGCUUCGAGCAUGCUGAAGUUUCCCCACUGCACUUCCUACAUUAUUCAAAGACAUCAAAUAAUUAUUACAAGUGAUUAUAAGUUGUACAUGUAAUAAUUAUAAAAAUUAAUUACGAGGGUGAUGAGUUAUUCACUCAAUGAUUUUGAAGAUUAAUUAAAUUCAUAUACAAAAUUGCAAUGUCGAAAAUCUAAUUGAGUGACCCACCCGUAACAUGAGCAGGCUGUUUUGCAGGGCUUGUCAAAGGCCCGGGCCAGCCCUUUGAUGGGCUUUGAAUCAUGUAGCUCUUUUUAUAUAAUACAUAAGACAAUACAACCGAGUCGUAUUGGUGGGUGGUUUUCAUAUUGUUUCAAAGGACAAAUACUCAACUAAAUAGAUUAACUCAAAAAUGAUACGAGUAAUAAUCGGAUUAAAAGAAUUAACUCAGAUACGAUAUAAUUUUUAAUUAAAUAACACGACACGAUACAUGUAACUCAUAUAAUAAUAUAAUCAAGUUUUGAAUCAAUAUAAUCAACUUCUUCACUUGACAUAUUUAUGAUUCAAUUGAUUUAUCUAUUCAAUAUCAAAUCUUAAAUUAAUCAAAUAUAAAUAAAAUAAUUUAUAAAUUAUAAUUAAAUUAAUCAACAUAAUUAUUAAAUAAGUCAAUCCAAUUUAAAUUCAAAUUAUACAAAUUAACUCAAAAAUAACAUAUUUAUUCUAUAGGUUAUACAAAUCAACAUCGAAUAUGAUCUAAACAUAAUUAUUUUCAACUCAAACUCAUAAAAAAUGUUGAAUUCAAAUUAUCUUGAGAAGUCAUGUCAAAUUUUACCAACCUAAAAUACAAUUUUUAAUUUAGUCAAACUUUAUUAAAUUUUAAAGACUACUUUAAAAGGUCCAUCUUAUUACAUAUCAUCCAAGAAAAAGAGAGAAUGAUAAAAAAAUAAAUUAUAAGAAUAUGUUUCAAUGAUUGUUAUUUUUGAAUUAUUUGAAUCGUGAAUUUUCUUGUUACUUAUUUUAAAUUCUUAAAUAAAACUUAAAAAUCAAUAUCUUAAAUUUUUGUAAAUGACUCAUUUUUAAAUAAUAUUUGUUAAAAUAUCUAUAUCAUUUUCAUUUUCAUUUUCAUUUUCAUUUUCAUUUUUAUUUUUAUUUUUAUUUUUUAUAAAUGUUUCAACUUUCGACAAAAAAAAUACAAGAAAAUGAGUCUAAUGAGGGAAAAGUUUCAAUCUCUCCUGCUUUUAUAUCUUAAGUGUUUCAAGUCGAUUAGCUGCUAAUGAACUUCUUUCUUUAGCUACUCAUUUAAUCCAUUCAAGUUUUGAAUUUAUAUCAAUUAAAAAGUAAUUUAUUCUUUUAAUCAAUUUAUUAAAAAUAAUAAUAAUAUAGGAUUAACCCAAUGGUAGUAAAAUUCAUAUCCAUAUUUGCUCCAUCAAAAAAAAAAUGUAAAAAAGAAGAAACUGACCUGACUGGGGAUACUCCGGCCAUAAAACACAGAGCUUUUAGGCACUGUUCGAUUGAAAGAUGGAUCUGAAUGCACAUAAAUUGAAUACAGCGCCUCAUGCCCUCUGAAGAACAUCUCCCAAAGAGGAGCUAAUGGCAAUGACCCUCUCGUCAAAAACAAGAAUGCAAUCUUGGGGACACGCUUGAAGGGGAACUCUCCAACCCGAGGCACCAUUGAAGCUCUCCAUAGCAACUCCGCAUCUUUCAUGUCAUGUAUAACAUUAGGGGGCUUCACGUACUCUUUCAAUCCAAUUCGACUAGAUUUUUCAGUUCUAUUCGUGGUUGGAAUUGGGGUAGAGAAUUGUUUGAGUUGUAUGUUGAAGGAGAAAUCUUGAAGGUAGAAACUAACUGUUAGUCCAAUGGCUAAACCUGAGCCGAAGAAGAGAAAAAAGCACAUAAGAUUGAAGAGGCUCAAGAUCUUUGGAUUUGCGGUUGAUGGGCGUUGUGCUUGUCCAUUCUUCAUUGUUUGGACAAAGAGAAAAUGAAGAGUGUUGACGAGAAGUCAUAUGAUGUUUUGCUUUUGUGUGUGGGAGACAUUGUCGUUAGUGCAAAUAAGAUUAAGCAAAUAUAUGGAUUGGAUUUACCAAUGGAGUCUCGAACCUGGCCGGCAAGGAAUUAGGAGUGGAAAGCAAGAGAAACAACAUAGAAAUAGCCAAAAUUCAGCAGUCAUUUGAGAGAGUGGGUUUGAUUUGAAGUUUCAAGGGAGAAGCAUGCAUUCAUGUGUAGGGUUGCACAUAUUCAAAUGAGAUUGGCUAUGAGGCUCAAAUUCAUUUACAGUGGGGAUCAUCACUUUGGAGGACACUGAACCACAAAAAUUACCACUGUUUUAUGAAACUAAUUACCAUUCUAAUUCAUUCAAUUCAAUUCAGUUCACCUGUGCAUGGCUUGAAGCCUUGAAUCUAUAUUUACAUUGUGGCAACUUCUUGCCUUUUCACCCAAAUUCUGCUCAUUUAUCCAGUUUGUAUGCUGAAACCAUUUUUCUAAAAUUAAAUUCUUGAACCUGCUCACUUGCUCAAAAAAACUUCAUCGCAUCCAAAUAUGUAGAUAUUAUCCAUUUUAAGUCCAAAGGCUUUAAAAUGCAUUUAUAUGAUUAAAAAAGGUUCAUAUUUAUAUAGUAUUAGGAAUUUUCUCCCUCAUUCGAUGUGAGAUAUCAUAAAUACCCCUCCAUGCAGAAACAACAUCGUCGUUGUGUCCCAUGGGAUUGGGGCGAAACAAAUAAACACCUCUCAUAGGGUCAAACAAACCCCCAGUCAAGAAUGGGUUCUAAUACCAUUUUAUAACGAUUCACACUCAAUUAUAUAGAUAUUAUUCACUCUAAGUCCAAAAGGUCCUUACAGUUUUAAAACACAUUUACAAAAUUAAAAAGAGUUCAUACUUAUAUAACACGUCCAUUCUAUGUCCAAAGGGGUCAUCGCAAUUUUAAAACGUAUUUAUAAAGUUAAAAAGAGUUCAUACUUAUAUAGUGUCAUCCCGAUCCAAUGUGGGAUAUCACAUAAUUUAUUAUGUACAUUGAAGGAUGUCCAAAUCAAAUAAACCUAGGCAUUAUUUAGAAUGAAUUUUUUUUUUUAAGCCAAAAGCAAUUUAACGGGUGUAACAAGAAUCUGUACUAAUGUUUGAAAUCAAUUUAGUAUAAUUCUUAGCAUUGGAAAGAAAUUAUCCCAAAAGUAGCGUAAAGUUAUUGUUUUUAUUAUUUUAUUUGGUGACAAGUAGUAAUUGGACUUUAAUAAACAGAAAUAUUUUUGUUUUUUUUACAUUUUUUAAACUUUAAUAAAAAAAUAUAUAUGAUAAAAAUAAAAAUAUAUGUAGCACCAAGUCAAAAGUUAUUUUUAUUUAAUAAAAAAAAUUAAUAUUAAUAUUUCAUAUAUGAAGCCAUGUCAUUUCUAACUAAAUUUAAAAAUAAAUAAAUAAAUUAUCCCAAAUAAAGUUUUAUUUUUGUUACUAACCCAAACCUACCGAACAAGAAUUUGGGUUGAGAAAAUUCAAGCCAACCUAACUCAAACCACAAUCCUGUCUAACCAUGCAUCUAUGAUUGAAUUAACUUCCAACCAGUGAAUCAGCUGGAAUUUGAGGUCUAACUCGCACUAAUAAAUGUGGAAUCGAAGAUGCUAUCAGGAAAGGAUUGGGCCAAGACCAAUUUAAUGGCUUUACCUCUCUUCUGGGUCAAGCUUGGCCUUCCGUUGUCUGCUUGAUCCAAGCCUGCAUCAAGAUUUGGCUGAACACAUGACAUUCAUCUUAGCACAGGCUGGCUGAAAUGACUAAACCCAAUUCAACUUCAUCAUCUUGUUCCUAAAAUCACAAAUACCACAUUUUGAAAAAUUUUGAGGUCAUUAACAUUGAAAUUGUGUAAAGGUUUUAAUGACUAAAAUCGAGGGACAAAAGCUGCAACAAGGGCUGCAAAGUAUUGGGUACAAAUUUCCUGGCAAACAAGAAACACAUAGACGUUGUGUUGCCACCAUACGUACAAUUGGUACCAAACCUCGUUUGAUUCAGGAACUCGAGAGUAACAUCUUGCCUAAUAAAUCUUCCAGGAUGUGGACCGCUCUUAGACCAAUCAACCCAGGUAAUGGUCCUGUUGGAGUUCUUUUCUGGAGCAAGAAUGUUGAUGAGUGUAGGGAUAUAAUGUUCAUCCAUGUAACAAGGGACAUGACAAUGCUCUCGAAAGACGGGGUAGUACUUCUUGUCUGAUACAAUUUCAAUGGCUAGCUCGCGAUGAACCUCAAACCAUUGUGACCCUUUACGCCAUUCGGAUAUGUUGAUUGUAGGUGACAUUUGAGGAUUGUAACGACCUCGGCCCACCUUCCUUGGAUCAUCGUAUGAAGCAAUGAAACUUUGAUUAGAAUUGAUGAUGUAGCUAUAUAUUGUUGUGAAGUUGAACAAAGGUAUGCAAGUCUCUGAGAGGAGCACAAAUCUUUCAUUAGAGAAGUCCAGGAGGGCGUUGGCCAAAAGGCGUCUCUCUGCAUCUAUCAUUGUUGCUCUUCCCCAUUUGACUGCCUGCAUUCAGGAAAAAAAGGAAUGUAAUAAGCAACCUCCAAAUAGUGAUUUUUCCCUCAUUUUUAUUGAUCUCUUAACAUACGAUCUCUUGGACAAUUAUACCAUAACCAAAUUCAGUGUUGAGUCUUGAUGUGUGAUAGAGAGGUACCGUCGUCUGCAACUAGAGCAAUUCUUGGUUGAAUCUUGCAGGGGGGUUUUACUUUACUGGGGAAGUUUGGAAAGUAUUAGAAAGUAUGCAAGAUAUGUACUGACCUUGCUGGGAAUUCUUCUUCCAUGGAAAACAGAAUCUUCAGGCACUGAAUCAUUGUAGGAAGGAUGAGGGUGAACAUAAAUAGAAUAAAACCCUUCAUGCCCUUUGAAGAAUAAAUCCCAUAAGGGGCCUAAAGGUAUAGGUCCCUUUGUCAAGAACAUGAAAGCAACUUUAGGGACAUUCUCAUAUGGGAAUUGUUGAAUCCUUGGAACCAUAGAUGCUCGCCAGAACAACUCAUCAUCAUCCAUACUGUGCAUGAGCGUUGGCUUAUCUUGUGAGGCCAAAGUACCAUCAGGUGGUGGAUAUGGAGAUGGCGAUGGUGACGGCGAUGCUGAUGCUGAUGGUGGUUGUGGCAGAGGUGAUGGUGCCGGUGGUGGUGGCAGCGUUACCAAUAAGGGUGGUGGUGCUGCGGCUGGUUGAGGUGCCGUAAAGCUUAUAAUAGCUUGAAGAUCGAAUGAGGAACUCUUGACAUAGAAACCGACCUUGAUUCCAAGGGAUAAACCAAUGACAAAAUACAGGAGAUGAAAGACAUGCCUCAACACUGAGUUGGAAUUGAAAAACAUAGAAACCAUAGGAAGUCGCUGAUGUUCAUUUCCCAUAUAGCCUCUAUAUAAUAGUCUAUAGAAUGAGGAAUAAUGAAGAUCCUCGCAGUUUAAAUUACUCUAGAAAGAGAGAGCUUGUGCGAAUAAAGGGACAGGAAGCGUAGACCCUAGCCAGUCAAAUUAGUAGAGCAACUCGGAAACAGAGGUAUCGAGUUUGACUCUACUCCCAUGUACAACAUGACUCGAAGGUGGCUUCAUAAUUUAAGAGUAAUUUAAAGAACAGGGGAACGCAACCACGGCUUAAAUCAAGAGAAGCUAGCUGUUAACAUUAACCAUCAUUCUUGACAGGAACUGAGAGUCUGACACCUCAAUUUGUAAUCACUGCUUUGCUUCACGAACAUCCCAUCGCUCCCAACUUCUUACCCAUGGGUUUGGGUAGUCCUUGUUCUACCACAUAGACCAGACUUCACACUUAGUUAGGUAUAAAACCAAUCUCACCCGUAAGAGUCUGGUCCAAAUAAUAUAUUGACUACUGAGUCGAUGGAGAGAAAAUGGAUCCAAAAUGUCAAACGGUUGGUUAAAGUGGUUUCCACUAAGCAAGUGGCCAAAUGGGAAGGUGCCAAGUAAUGGGCCAUUACUCAAGAGUAGUGCUUCUUGACCCAAUUUGUCAACCCACCCAAAUGCAAGUCGUUUACGAAGGUUGGCGAAGUUGCAAUGGUUGAGCCAAUCACAUUUGAAACAUGAAAAACAUUCUCAUUAGUAAUUUAUUUAUACUAAAUAUAUUAACAUUUUAUACAAAUGUAUGUUACAUAAUUUAUUAAAAAUCAAGUAUCGCAUGAGCAAUUUACAUGAAUGCAAGUCACAGUGAUCAAGUAAAAUCUUAGAAUGAUAACAAAUCAUCUGCAACAUAGCACACCUGCCAGAAGAAUUCAUUGUUCAAUGCAUUCCACCCAUCAAUUUCAAAUGUGGGAAAUCAAGGUGAUCAAAAGAUCUUAAUGAAGAUAUUCAUACAAAUGUUGGAUUCCUUCUGAUCUUAGUAUAUCACUUUGGAUUACUUCCUCAACCUGGUCUGAAUAGAGUCCGAAUUUACCUAGGCAAAAUACCAAAUUAGAAUAGAUAGAAUUCCGCAUUAAUGUCACUUUUCUCGUCCAAGCCUCAUCUGACAAAAUUUUCUUAUUGAUUAAACACUCUGUCGAGCAAAAUUAGAAGUGAAAUACUUAUACAGAAAAGCUUGUUGUAUACAUAAAAGAAGACCGCUUGUGUAGAUGGUAAACAAGCUACGCUGAGCUCAUGCCUGGCACGAGCUUUGGAAUAAUUCUAGUUUUGGUGGGUCUGUCUUUAAACACCAAAUCACAAACAUUAAAAGUGUAAUUCCAGGUCAUUACAGCAUUCAGCACUUCCUACCUAUCUGAGAUCAAUGAUGCCUACUGCUGCAUUUUGGCACUACAUAAAUGGCCUUCCCUGGAAGUGGCUUGUAUAUAUUUUUAUAGGACAAUUUUUCCAACCACCCAAAAGGUUAGGAGGUUCAAGACAUCAAAGAUGUGUGGUUGUCCAUGUCUGCCCAUCACAAAGCAAGUAAAAGAAACAGGAGGUUAAAAAUAAAAAUAAAACAAAACGAUUACAUGAACAAGAGAGGAAAUAAAGCUUUAAGGACCAUAACCAAAUUUCCAGAUUUAUGGCUAAAUCAUUAUGUUGAUCUCCCUUAAACAAGUUGUUCUAAAGCAAAAGAUACUAAAUACUGACCUCACACCAUCAUUUGAGAUUGGAAUAGUAAAAUCAGCGAUUUUUUUUAUUUUUUUUUAUAAGUAAAAAAGAUUAUAUUGAAUAAGAAAGAAAGUACACCCAAAUGGUGACCCAAAGCAUACAAGCGGUAUACAACAAUCGUCAAAUAGAAGAAUCUAUAAAAAGGAGGGGUAACAAAAAACACCACCGGCCCUCAUCUAGAACCCCACCAUUUAAAAAAAUUGAUUAAAGGAAGAGGUCUUUCAUCUAUACACAGCUUAGUCUAAGCCCAAAGAGUACAAAUAAAAGAGUUUUUCAGCCUUUGAAUCAACAGCUCCUUGUUAUCAAAGGCAAUCCUAUUUCUUUCUUUCCACAUUGUCCAAAAAAUACAAAUAGGGCCUUCCAAGCCUUUUUGCAUUUCUUACCCACAAAUGAACCAUGUCAACUAAGAAGAGUCUUUAUAACCAUCAAGGGUAGAACCCAACACACCCCACAAAGAGCAAAGUGUAACUACCAUAGCACUCUAGCCUUAACAUAGUGAAGCAGGAUAUUGUCAAUGUUCUCUUCUUCAACAAGACAAAGGAAGCAUCUGUUUGCUAGAGAUCAUUCCCUCCUUUUUACCUGAUUCAAAGUUAAGGCUUUGCCCUAUGCCGCUUCCCAAGUGAAAAAACUCACCUUAGGAGGAACGCACAGGCUCCAAAUGAUACCCCUUGGAAACAGGAUUGCACCACCUGGCUCCAAAGCAACUUAAAGAGACUUAACAGAAAACUUCCCGCACUUUGUCCCUAUCCAAAGCACCCUAUCUUCCAAGUCUUGGGACACCCUCUUUUGUUGGAUUCUUGAAAGAAACCUCCCCACUAUAUUCAACUUUUCCUAUCAGAGUUCUAAUGAGAGAAAGAGAGGUGGAUAGCGAGGGGGAGGGUGACGACGAGGCGGAGAAGCCAAAUCGGAAAUGGCAGAGUUUCGAGGUGGAAUCGAAAACCUUUGAAGUAGAGGUGGAGAAGAAAAGGGGUAAAACCCUUCUGUUUAUUGUGGAAAGCAAAAACGGUGUGUCCUCAUGGGUUAAAAUGGGGUCGACAAGUGUUGGGAUGUUUUUGGAAGGGAUGGAUCAGUGUAUCAAGGAUGGGAAGGACGUUAAAUGGGAGAAGGGAUGGAAGGAAAAGGGGAGAAGGUUUUCUAUGGUGAGAGAAGCGAAUAAGGCGGGAAGCUUUAUUAGGCUAGGAGUCGUUGACGCGGAGGAGAAGUGGUACAGCAUUUGCAUCCCAAAAGGGAAAGGGGGAAGAGAGGGAUGGACAGUCAUGGCGAAAGUGGUGCGGAAUUUGUUUACAAGGGUUGAGAGAAGGGAGAUAAAUAAGGACGAGCUAAGCCCUAACAGAGCGCCAUCUGAGAAGGGGGAGAGAGGGGGGAGAAGGAGUAAUAUCGGGAUUAGGAUGGAGGUUAAGGAAGAGGAAAGUUGCAGAAAUGAGGAUCGGUUGGGUCAAUGUUUGAUUGGAAAAUGGGAUCCUAAAGUAGCAGGAGGAGGGGACCUAGAGAGAAUGGGGUGGAUGUUGGCGAGUGUUUGGGGAUUAAAAGGGAAGCUAGGGUUGGCCUGGAUGGACGAGGGUCGAGCCCUAUUGGAGUUUGAAAAGGCGGCAGAAGCUAGGAAAAUCCUCGACGGUGGAGCAAGACUGGUGGGGGGGAUUCAAGUGGAUCUGAAGGUGUGGAGGCCGUGCUUUGGGUGUUUGGAAGAAGGGGAUCUAGAAGAGGAAGCUUGGGUGAGGGUAAAAGGCCUCCCACUGUCGUUAUGGACCCCUAGCAUUUUGCGAAGGGUAGGAGAUGUGUGCGGGGGCUUUGUAGCCAUGAAUGGGCCGACGGAGAGAAUGGAAGAUCUCCGAUGGGCGAGGUUGCUGGUGAGGACGAAAAGGGGGGUGUGGCCAAACUCAAUAGAAAUCGAGGUCGAUAAGACCACAUAUCUUCUUCCGAUAUGGUGGGAAGUAAGGCCGCUGUUCAGAAAGAAGGUGGAGGAUCGUCGGAGUGCAGAAGGCUGUGAGGAGGGGGACGAUGGAGAUACACGCGCGGGCCGGCGAGUGGAGGAGUGGAGUAGCGCAGGCAUCGAGGCUCAGGUUCGGUCAGGCGAUGUGAUGGAUGGGCUGCCGGAUGAGAAGGGCAGGGUCUUGUCGGGGGGCCGGAUCCGCUUCGGGUCGUUGAUCCGAGAGCCAGAGAAUGGGGCGGAUGAGGGCUUGAACCCGUGUGGGCCUAUCCGACCCAAUGUAAGACUUGGCAUCAGGAGAGGAGGGGGGCUUAGCCCAACCCCAAUAUCCGGUGCUAGCAGUGGUGGGCUUGGGCCGACUGGCAGACUUUAAGGCCCAAAAGGCAAGGAGAAAGCCCUAGAGGAGAUUCAUGGGUCUCGAGAUGGGUUUUAUAUGGACCAAAGAUGGUGCAGUGGGCCGUCUUCGAGUGGGCUUCAGGAGAUGGGGGCUCAGCGAGGUGGGCCGCCGCGAUUAGGCCCGAAGAGAAGCAAGUUUAAUUCAAGCCCAUUGGGGGUCUCGGUUCAGUCUGGGCCGUUGGAUGAUGCCAAUUCCGAGCUUGAAUUCCUAAGGGUAAGGGAGAUGGAGACUGUGAUUGUUCAGAAGGCCAAUGCUCUAGAGGGAUGGGCAGACAGUGCUCUCCAUAAAGAAGUAAUGAGGUAUGAGGCCUUAUCAUCCUUAGGGGGUUUAUGGGUUUCCGGGAAUUCUUCUUCUUCUUCUAUGUCUACUUUUGGUCGGACUCCAAAGGGGGAGUUCUUUGAUCAUUCUAGGGAAGCUAGGGAGAUCUGUCAAAUUGACAGAGAUUCUCAAGGGCAAGAGGUAGAGGAUACCAGGCCGAAAGGCAGUGUUUGCUGGGAGUUGGUUGAAUUUAAAGGAGCCCUUGCAACGGCAAGGGAGCAGGAGGGGGGGUCUUCUCAAGAUGAGGUUCAGGAUGAAAUGGGGGAAAAGGACCUGGAUUGGCAAGAAAGCAGCUUAGCAAGGUUUAGCCAUUUCCUGGGUUUUUCGACUGAUGGGAUGGAGAAGGAGAUUUUAAAUUUUCUGUCAAAAAUCAGGAAAAGAAUGGAGAAGAUUCAUAGUAAAGGAUUAUUGGAAAAAUCGAGGUUUGAAAGGGAGCUAAAAAGGUUGGAAUGCUCAGUGAAUUAUGAGGGGGAUAGCAAAAAGAAGGGCUCUAUUCAGGGCAAAGGGAUGCAGAUGAUGUGUGUUUAAUGAAUAUUAGAUUGUUAAGCUGGAAUGUAAGGGGGGUGAAUGAAAGUAGGAAAAGGAAGGUUUUUAAGUCGGUUGUCAAAAAGCAGAAGGUAGAUCUCUUUUGUAUCCAGGAGACAAAAUUUCAGUUUAUGACUGAGAGGGUGGUGAGAAGCUUAGGGUCGGGUAGAUUUUUAGAGUGGAAGGCCCUGAAUGCGUGUGGCUCGGCUGGGGGUAUGCUAAUCUGCUGGGAUAAAAGAGUUCUGGAGUUGUUGGAGUGGGAGGUGGGUCAGUUCUCUUUAUCCNNNNNNNNNNNNNNNNNNNNNNNNNNNNNNNNNNNNNNNNNNNNNNNNNNNNNNNNNNNNNNNNNNNNNNNNNNNNNNNNNNNNNNNNNNNNNNNNNNNNGGGAGGUGGGUCAGUUCUCUUUAUCCUGCAGAUUUAGGACUUUGGAGAAUGGGGUGAUUUGGGCUUUUACAGGGGUUUAUGGGCCGUUUACUAGGCUUGAAAGGGAGUGGCUGUGGGAGGAAGUAGGGGCAAUCAGAGGAAUCUGGGAGGGGCCCUGGUGUCUAGGUGGUGAUUUCAACAUCACUUUGGCUCAAGGGGAGAGAAACAGGCAAGGGAGAAUUUCUUCAGCUAUGAGGAGGUUUGCGGAAGUCGUAGAUGAUCUUGGCCUUGUGGACCUUCAAUUGCAAGGGGGUGCUUUCACGUGGACUGGGGGCUUGAAUAACUCGUCAAAGGCUCGUUUAGAUAGAUUCUUGGUUUCUCCUUGCUGGCUUGAUCAGUUCAGCAGGGUGAGUCAGCGGAGGCUUCCCAGGCCGAUUUCGGACCACUUUCCAGUUUUACUUGAGGGGGGUAGCUGGAGGAGAGGGUCUGCCCCCUUCAGAUUCGAGAAUAUGUGGUUCAAAGUCGAGGGGUUUAAGGAUUUAAUCCGGAAUUGGUGGCAAGGAACAGAGGUCAGGGGAAGUGCCAGCUUUAGAUUAUCGGAGAAAUUGAAGAAGGUGAAGCAGAAGCUUAAAGUUUGGAAUAUGGAGGAGUUUGGGAAUCUGGAAAGUAACAAGGAGGCUGCGAUUCAACAAGUGGAAUAUUGGGACAGAGUAGAGGAUGAAAGGAGCUUGUCAAUGGAGGAAGCAGCUCGUAAGAAGGAGGCUAAGGAGGUUUAUGCCAAGUGGGUUGAACUGGAAGAAACUCACUGGAGGCAGGUGUCUAGGGAACUCUGGUUGAAGGCAGGUGAUAGGAAUACGAGGUAUUUCCACAGGAUGGCAUCUGCCCAUAGGAGAGUUAACCACAUGGACAGAAUCAAAAUUAAUGGGAUUACAAUGACAGAGGAGAGGGAAAUCAAAGAUGGGAUAGUUAAUGCUUUUAUGCAGCAAUUUUCCGAAAGUCCGGAGUGGAAGGCGGACAUUGGAAGUCUCUCUUUUAAUCAAAUUUGUGUGCAAGAGGCUGAGAUGCUGGAGGCUCCCUUCUGUGAGGGUGAAGUCCAGAUGGCCCUGAUGGAAAUGAAUGGGGAUAAAGCCCCAGGUCCUGAUGGGUUCUCGGUUUUCUUUUGGCAAUGUUGUUGGGAUUUUGUCAAGGAGGAAAUCCUGGAGUUUUUCAAGGAGUUCCACGACCAGAAUACGUUCCUCAAGAGUAUCAACAAUACAUUUCUGGUGCUGAUUCCUAAGAAAGGAGGGGCCGAGGAGUUCGGUGAUUUUAGGCCAAUUAGCCUUUUGGGGGGUCUGUAUAAGAUGUUGGCAAAGGUGUUGGCCAACAGGCUUAAGAAGGUUAUUGACAAGGUUGUGUCCCAUGAUCAGAAUGCAUUUGUUAAGGGUAGGCAGAUUCUUGACGCUUCCCUAGUAAAUGAAGUGAUUGACAAUUGGAAAAAAAAAGGGGACAAGGGGGUUAUCUGCAAGCUUGAUAUUGAGAAGGCCUAUGACAGUAUUAAUUGGCAAUUCCUCUUGAAAGUCAUGGAAAAAAUGGGAUUUGGCGCUAAGUGGCUGAGGUGGAUGUAGUGGUGUAUCUCCACAGCCAGAUUUUCAGUUAUGGUGAACGGAACGCCAGCUGGUUUCUUUCCGAGUUCCAAAGGGUUGCGUCAAGGAGAUCCCUUGUCCCCCUAUCUUUUUGUCAUGGGGAUGGAGGUGCUAAGUGUCCUAAUCAGAAGGGCUAUGGAGGGGGGUUUCAUCUCAAGGUGCAAAAUUCAGCGCAAUAGAGGCCGGGCUGUCCACAUUGCGCAUCUGCUCUUCGCCGAUGAUACUAUAGUCUUUUGUGAGGCAAAGAAGGAGUACUUAACGAAUUUAAGCUGGAUCUUGUUUUGGUUUGAAGCCGCGUCCGGGUUGAAAAUUAACUUGGCUAAAAGCGAGGUAAUUCCAGUAGGAAAGGUUCAAAGGAUAGAGGAGCUGGCUGUGGAGUUAGGUUGUAGGGUGGGGAAGCUUCCGUCCGUUUAUUUGGGGCUGCCGUUGGGGGUGCCUAAUAAGGCGGCUUAUGGAUGGGAUGGUAUAGAAGAGAAAAUGAGAAGGAGGCUUGCUCUUUGGAAGAGCCAAUAUAUCUCAAAGGGUGGGAGGAUCACGCUUAUUAAAAGCACUAUGGGAAGUAUGCCAGUUUACCAGAUGUCGUUAUUCCGUAUGCCCAUGUCUGUGGCUAGAAGAUUAGAAAAAUUGCAAAGAGACUUCUUAUGGGGGGGGGGGGGGGGCUCCUGGGGAGGAAAAAUCCUCUGGGUAAAUGGGGGGGGGGGUGUGGGGGCAAAAAAAAAGGGGGGGUGGGAAAAAAAAAACUUGCUAUCAUGAAAAAAGGGCUUUUUGGGAAGGGGGCUUUGGGAAUUUCUUUCGAUAAAGGGGCCCUUUUGAAAAAUGUGCUGGAAACAAAAUAUGGUCAGGGAGAUCAUGGGUUGAGGAACAAAAAAGCCGUGGGUNNNNNNNNNNNNNNGUGCUUUUUGUGUGCGUGCGAAGCGGAAAGUGUGGAUCACUUACUUAUUCAUUGUACAGUGGCUAGAGAGCUUUAGGAUCUAGUGUUGGGGUCAAGUGGGUGUUCCCUAAAUCUGUAAAGGAAGUGUUAUAUAGUUGGGGAGGUUCUUUUGUGGGAAAAAAAAAGAAAAAGUUUUGGAGUUCCAUUCCAUUAUUCAUUUUUUGGAUGGUUUGGAAGGAAAGGAAUAGGCUAGCUUUUAGGGGGGGGGGGUUUAGCAAUUCAGAGGUUCAAAUAUUCUUUUGUCUAUUAUAUCUGGGGUUGGGCUAAGUUGUAUAUGGAGGAGAGGCCGCAUUCCCUUUUAGAUUUCCUGGAAUGGAUAGCUUCCAGUUGAGGGGUGGUUUGUUUUUUUUGGUUUGUUGCUUGUUCUUGGCCUUUGCUGCCUGGUAUACGUCUUGUAUACGUUGAGGUUUUUUGCCUCUUUAAUGAAAUGUGUUUACUUAUCAAAAAAAAAAAAAAAAAUCAUUAAAAGACCUAAAGAACAUCGGAUUCCAACCGCUGCCCUCAAUCAUGGAGUCCCAAACAUCCGCCACUCGCCUCCUUUGAAGAGGCAAGAGCAAAAAGAGAAGGAAAUGACACACAUAACGCUUCGUUACCACACCACUUAUCCUUCCAAAAACUCACCCUUCUCUCAUUACCCACUUCAAAAACAAUCUUGUCACUCAAUAGAUUCCAUUCUUUCCUUAUAGCCUUCCAAAGGCCCACCCCAUACCCCUCUCUCACUUUGCAAGAGCACCACCCACCUUAUGCUACACCAUACUUCACACUAAUAACUUGCUUCCAAAGAGCCUCCCCUUCAUCCACAAAGCGCCAACAUCAUUUACAAAGAAGAGCUCUGUUAGGCAAAGAGAGACAUCUAACACCCAAACCACCCUUCCUCUUAUCUGAGCAAACAAUGCCCUAGUUUACUCAAUUUAGCCCAUAGGCCUUUUGGUCUCUCUCUUCUCCCUGUAUAGGUUCCACUUGAACUAAUACUAGUAUACUCAUUUGUUUUACUCACUCUCCCAAUACUAUACUUGAAAAACAUUUAAAUUUUAAAGUGUCUUACACCACAACAAGCAAACUGCUCUUUAACACGCACAGCAAGACCCCAUGAUCAAUGCCAAACAAUAGGUCCCAAUGUUCACCAAGCAAAGGCUACUGAGCUUAAUCAGCUCAUGUAAAGUAAAGCCUAGGAAAAAAUGAAGUGUAUACCCAUGCAUUCCCACAAGCGAGGUUUGACUAGUUUGUACCCAUGUGUUCCCACAAGCUAGGUUCCUGAAGUUAAUCAGCUUAUGUAAUGUAAACCCAAGGAAAAAGAGAGAAAGAUCAUAUCCCAUGCAUUUCCACAAGUGAGGUUUGACCAGGUUAAACCGAUUACCUAAAGUAAACCCUAGAAGAAGAAGAAAGAAGAAGUUUCUAGCUUAUGCCCAGGCAUUCCCCCAAAGAAGAAGAAGAAGAAAGACGCUUAUAGUUUACACCCAUGUAUUCCCACAAUAGAGGUUGGACUGAUGUUACUCACCUAAAGAGAAUCCAAGAAGAAGCUUCUGGUUUAUACCAUGCAUCCACAAGCAAGGAAAGACAAGCUAAGCAACUCACUUAAAGGAAAUCCAAGAAGAAGAAGAAGUAUCCACAAGCGAGGCUUGACUAAGGUUCAGCAGCUGACCUAGAGUAAACUCAAGAUGAGAAGCAGGAGUUGAAGGAGGUUAUACUUGUCUAUUGCCCACAAGCGAGGUUUAACUAAGUUACACACCUAAGAAAACUCAAAGAGAAGGUUCUAGUAGACAUGCAUCCACAAGCAAAGUUUGACCAAGGUUAAGCAGCUAACCCAAGCAGAAGUUUUUGGUUUAUAUACAUCCAUCCAUAAGUGAAGAAUUUCGACUGAGGUUAAGUAGCUCACUAGAAGUAAACCCUAGAAGAACAAAAAGAAGAAACAAGGCCUGCAGCCAACUACUUCAGAUCUUGAGGUUUAUCCGGGUCAUAACUUCAACUAAAUCACAGGUCAGAUGUCUCAUUUCUCAAAGCUUGCUCCUCUUGACCUCCCUCUUGUCGUUGUAACUCAUUCUGGUAAAUCAUACCACUUCAGACAAGUAUAAUCACAGGUCUUUUAAUGCACAUCCUAAAUAAAUUUCUAUCAUCUUUUCCUUGGUUGGCAUUAUCUUUACCAGUUCAUCCAUUUCUAACUACUUUUGCUUGUUUGGCCUUUCAUCCUUUUCACAAUCCUAAGUUUCGGAUACACUAAUUUUCAUUUCCAAAAAAUACAGGCUAAGAGGCAUAAUUGAGGUUGAUCAGUUUACCUACAAUAAACACCUUGUUAACUCUCAAGCGCAAUGCUGAGUUUUUUCUAUUUCAUACUCAUGCAUUCCUAAAAGCGAGAGUGAGGUUGAGUAGCUUAUCCAAAGAAGCACCAUAAGAAGAAGAAGAAAUGAAUGAGUCCAAUUCCAACUACUUGGGGUCUGCUACACACGAAUCCUAUUUAGCCAUUCAGUUUUAUCCAGGGUCAUCUCUUCAACUAAACCACAGGUCAGAUGACUCAUUUUCUCAAAGCUUCCUCCUCUUGACCUUGCUCUUGUCCUUGUAAGCUCAUUUAAAUAAAUCAUAUCAAUCCAGAGUCCAUACAAGUACAGUCAUCAGUCUGUUGCACAUCCCAAACAAAUUUCUACCAUCUUGUCCUUGGUAAGCAUUACCACCACCAACAAAUUCAUUUUUACACUAUUUUUGCUUGUUAAGCCAUUCAUCUUCAUAACACUACUUUUGCUAGUUUUGUUUGUUUGGCCAUUUGUUCUUUGCUACAUCCCAGGUUUCAGAUACACAAAUUUGAUGAUAAACAAUAACAAUAACAACAAAAAGAACAAGAACAAAAAGAUAACAGGAAUAAUAAGAAUGACUAAUCAAAGGAAUACCACAGUAGUAGUAAUAGUAAUAGUAGUAACUUGCACAUCCCAGACAAUUUUCUAUCAUCUUGUCCUUGGUGAGCAUUAUCUUUGCCAAUGCAUUCAUUUCAACACUACUUUUGCCAGUUUUGUCUUUCACCAUUCAUCCUUUUCUACUUAUCACGAGUUUCAGCUACACUAAUUUUAUGAGAAACAAUAACAGUAACAACAAGAAGAAGAUAAAUAAUAACAAUAACAACAACAGUAAAAAGAAUAAAACUACUAUUGCUGCUGCUGCUACUAAACCCUGUAGGAAACACCAAGGAGAUAGAUGUUGAUAAACAACACAUCCAGACAUGGCACCACAAAGACCAAGACUCAUAGUUCUUCAUGACCUUUUGCAGAUUUUACAACCAUAGAAGUAGCAAGGCAAAAAUAAUUAAAAAUAAAUAAAAGAAAAAUAAAGAUGAUUUAGAAAGCCACAGGAAAUACAUUGUCUUAGUUGAAGAAAGAAGAAAGUAAGUAGAGAAGUAUUAAAAUAAAAUAAUCACCAUAUUGUACUACACCAAUAAACAAAUGAUACAUCAUACAUCAUAUCUUUAAAGCAAAUAACUAAUCCUUAUCAGAAAUUACAAAAUUUGAACCCUAAAGAAGAACUUACCCUCAAUCUCAAGGAAUGCAAUACAGCAGCAACCAUCAUCUAUUUUGGCCACAGUGGCCACACAAACACAAAUGGCUCCAUAAUCUUCAAUUUUGUAAGAGGAUAUCUAGAAUCAGUCCACAAGGCCUUCAAUAAGAUAGAUAUCUACCAUAUGAUGACUGCUCUUUUGCUUCUCCCUUUCAGAGCUCUUUUCCAUCCACACAACAUAAAAGGACAGUACUACAUAAAAAUAUUAUAAAUACUUAGAUGUCAGCAACUUUCAUUAUCUGGUUGAGGCUUUCCUCCCUAGUUAAAUGCUUUUCAGAAUUUUCUCCCAUACAUUCCCAUUGGAAGUAAUCACCUCAACAUGUCUCAUGUGACCAGCACAUCCAGAUUUCAUGGUAAGUUCUAUCCAUCCUUUGACACGGUAUGGCUCAUCCAAGUUCCACCUUGACACUCCUUUCAUGUGCCUAUGUGAUCAAUUACAGCUCAUGUCUUCUUCGUUUCAUUUUCCAAUUGAGAUAGCUUCCUACUGAGUAGUACUGGUUAAUUUUUUCUACGAUAGCACAAUAUUGGGGUAGAGAAUUUUCAAUUUCAAAAUGAAUCAAAGGCUAUAGAUACCACAUUCUAACUACAGAAUGUCAUUUUCUUCCCUCAUACUUAGAAAAUUUGAAUAUCCUCCAAAUCUUGAGGUCUUGCUUUCCAACUGUUUUUUCCUCCAUUUGGUUGACAAUGGUGAGAAUGUCAUUUGACUCCCUCUUCAUUACUUGGGUCACCUUCUGUUCUUUCAUUUCCUCUUUUCAGCAAACAAACAAACCCAUUUCUUCCACCUAGCAGCUAGAACUCCAACUCUUGCAGAUUCUAUUUUUGUUCAUGUGGAGCAUAGAGCAAUAUCUCAUGCUCCUUGGUAGAUGCUUCUUCAAAAAUAAGUCCCACCUGUAAAAGGCUUGAUAAGAACUGAAGAGGCCUGUGUUCUGAUCUCAUCACAGAUGUAAAAGAAUGCUCAGUCAUGACCAAAGCCUGCUUGAAACCCUACCCGUUCACUUACCCACUCUGUGUUGCUCAGUAGAAGAAGAUAAACCUUACAAAAACUGCAACUCUCCACUUCUAGUUCAUCAUUUUAAGCAUGAUUUCCAUGUAGCCAUCUAGCCAACAAUCCUCCAGCCUUUCUAUUGGUUCAACCAUCUUGGCUCUCACAUAGCAAUCUAUCAUAUAGAUCCCCCCUGCCACAAUCUCCCCAUGCAAUCCAACCAUAACUCCCAUACUUUACAGGCUCCAAUGGCAGAAUCAAUCAUUCAAUGAUUGUGUCAGCACUGACACUUGCUUAACAAGAAACAUCCACCACCUUCUUCAUCAUUCUGAAGUGCCAUGCCCAAGCCAACACCCUUUAAUUCUAUCCUCCAACAGAUACGGUAGGGUAAUUGAAUCACUAUUGGUUCAUAGUUCAUUAACUACUAACCACAAUAAAGCAAGCAGAAUAUUGGCUAACUACAAUGUGGCUAAAAUUGCACAACCAAUUACAAAAGGUUUAAGUCAACACCAUUAUGAUGUAGCAUUUAGCCCUGUUGCCAGCCCCUCCUUAACUGAAACUACCUCAAUCUUUUUUGCAUUUUUCCUUUUAUAUAUAUAUAUAUAUAUAUAUAUAUAUAUAUAUAUAUAGGCAAAAGAACAAUUUAUUCAAAACAUCAAUCAAAAAAGGGCAGAACCCAAGCACAGAAGAAAUAUACAAAGGUCACCAUAGGGCAAGAAACAAGAAAAGGAAACAAGCUAGUGAAAGCCCACCCAAUCCACCAAAUCAUACGUGGACUCUCCAAUACAAAAUUUGGACAAAGAAAGGGAUGUCCAAAUAAAAUAAUCUUUUAACAAUUGAAUUGACUUAUCGAUGCCUUCAAAAGUUCUUUGGUGCCUCUCUUGCCAAAUUGUCUAGAACAAACAUGACAGAACUAACCUCCAAGUUUUUAUGCACUUUUCCCCAAAAAAAUCCACAAGACAUCUUUCACUGUAUAAGGAUACACCCACAACACAUUAAAGAGUGAGAAUAAUAGAUAAAAGACUAUGAGUUGCACCACAAUGAAAAUGGAUAUGAUUGGUUGCCUCCUCAUCUCUCUUGCACAAGCAAUACUGGUUAGCCAUAGCCCUACCUCUCCUCCUUAGCUGGUAUAAUGUCAUAAUUUCUCCCCAAACCACAUCCCAAGCAAAGAAACCCACCUUUGGAGGAGCCAGAGAACCCCAAACUUCUUUGACUGGGAAAGGAUCUUGAGAAACUAAUUCCAAGGAACUAUAGUAGGAUUUUACAGAGAACUUAGUGCCGUUAUUCAAUUUCCAGACCAAAACUCCUUCAAUUGGACUAUCUCAAGGAGUUGGCUGAAACAUCAAUUGAGCAUAGCUAUCUCCUCUAUUUUCAUAGAAUAAGACCUUUGAAUUAAGAGAGAGUGAGAGAGGGGGAGAAAAGAAAAGAAAAGACUAAAAAAUAAAUAGAUAAAUAAACGAAUAAAGCAAGCAUAAUGUAAGAUGGAACCAAAUUAUUAACAGGAACAAUCAUAAAGGACUCUUAGAAUUUGACAUGCUAAACAACAUCUUUGGCCAUUUCAUGGUCAUUCCUCACAUUAUGGCAACAUGGAUCUGUAUUGCAAUUUGCAAGUAAAUAUUUUUUAUGCCAAGGAUAGCUAACAUUGAGUAAACUAACUGAACCAAGUUGAUCUUAUAUUAUAUGCUAAGAUUUCGAGGUAGAACAGUGCUCCUGGGUAUUUCAGAUUUUCACACAAUCCAAUGGAGAUGUGUUUUGAAUAUAUAGUAGAACCCAAGAGUAAAAAAGCAAUAUCCAAAUUUUAAGAAGUCAACGGAAUAAACAAGCAAGAUUCCACAACCUUUUUCCUCAAAACAAUUUGAGAAUUUCAUGGAUCCAGUAAAAGAUUGAAAAAAGGGGAGGAAAACCAAGAGCACCAGCUAGCAGGGCAUUACCACAACUAACUUGGAAAAAGAGGAAAAUGAUGACUGCCAUGGAGUCUGCAAAAAGCUGCACAAAACAUUUAGACAUGAAAUAUUCCUUUUAAUCAUCAAGCAAUGUAGUAAGAUCUUGCACGCACACAUACUAAAGUUCCUUCUACCCAAAGAAACUCAGAAAUGAUCAAAACAUGAGAAAAUGGGAUUCAUCAUGUUCCCACCCUGUGUGUAUCCAUCGCAUCUAUCAAUAAGCUGGUAACCCAAGCCAUUAUUUGAUUUCAAGGUAGGGAUUUACCCCAAUUAAUGAUGUCCAGCAGCAAAUAACAGAACAAUCAAAAUGAAAGAAUGAUGGCCAGAAGCUCAACAAAGGAAAAGGAUAAUGUCAGGUAGGAAGUUGGAAGUUAGUGCCAAGAAAGCUUGCCCAAUCUCAUAUCAGUUGUGAUCAUGUCCCAUCACAUUUCCAGAUACAAUGUGUUACAGAAUAUGUAAUGGUAGACUAAAAAAUUGGAGUGAGAUUUCAAAUAGUUAUGGAAAGAGACAGAAAAAGAAAAAACUGCAGCCUAACGGCUCUACCCAAUGUGAUAAGGCACUAUUGAUUCAUUACAAAAUAAUAGCAAUGAUAUUGCUUCAUUUGAGAAAGAAAAUAAUUGUUCCAUACAAGAAUUCCAAUGAGCAAGAUUAAAGCAAGCUGCGCUUCAUGCAUUUACACAAUUGAUACAAUUGUUCAACUGCAAUUUUAUUCAGCAAAUAAAAAGUGAAGAACAAAACCAGAGAACUUUGACACUAAGAGAUUCAGUUCUGAACUUGAAACAUAAAGAGAGGGAUUAAAGAAAAGAAUUAGAUAAGUUGUAUAGCAUACCUUCAUCUUGCCAACAAAGGAAAGAAGACAACUCAAAUUGGAAAUAUCACUUCUUCAAUGAAUUUUCACAAUGUGUAGCAUGAAAAAACAAUUUCAGUAUUCGGCUUUGAAACAAACACAAAUCCCAACCAUAACCAAAAGGUAUACAAUCUACAAUGAAAAACUAACCUCAGCCCUUAAGGUAGGAGAAUACAAGGCAUAGCAAAAUCCAAAGUUCUCAGCAAAAGCUGAUAUUAAAGAAAUAUUUAAUGCUAUAAAAGAAAAUCCGGGAUCAGUGGUGUUUGUGUAACCACAUUGUUGGGCCCUUCCGCUCUUUGACGAGAUUUGUGCCUAUUAUGACGAUGACUACUCUUCUGCUUGUCUUUCUGACCAUUUUCUUCUCUUUCCUUCUCCUUCUUCCUCGGACUUCUAUGCCGUCUCUCUUUACCAUGACCAUGGUGUUUGCUUCUUCUUGAACUUGGAUUUCCCAUAUUAGGAUUUCCUACAUCACCCAGAACUUCUUUUGGACCAGAUGGAUGAUCAGUAUUUAGUUUUUCCUUCCCUCUUCUCUUACUGGAUGAUUUAUCGGUCAGAUUACUUUGUGAAGUGGAUACAGCUUCAUUACCUAAAAGUACAUCUCGCACCGCACCAGACAACAAAUCCUCUUUCAACUCCAGCUUCUUGGCUGCAAUAGGUGCUUCAUCACCCUCAUCCAAUUUUACCACCACCGGCCUAGGUUUUGCAUGGUUUGGCUUUUUCUUUUGAAGAAGCGACUGCUCUGUAAGCUUAACAAGAUCUUUAGCAUCAUCAUUCAGAUUAUCCUGCAACUUAGGGUCAUUAGCAGGUGGGUAAUCAUUGGAUACAUCAUUCUUCUCUGAAGGAAGAUAAUAUAGUCCAUGAAGCUUGCGGUGUUCUGCAAGCAGAGAUGUCGACUCAGUUGAUGCUUCAGAUGAUUCUCCUUUGCUUUGGGGAAGACCAACCUUCUCCUUAGAAUGAGGAAUUCCAAAAGAAAAUGAACUUGAUGUAGGCAGCUGAUCAUUGCCACAAAUCAUUUCCAAGUCACCAAGAUUCUCCCUAAGUAUUAGCCCAUCAGGGAUAGGAACUCUUUCUUGCGCAUUUGCUGCGACUGGACCAAGCUCCUUGGAGAAUGCAUCAUGCAUUAACUCAAUGAUUUUGGGAAAUUUUAAGCCUUCCCUCUCAAAAUUCCCUUCUUUCUUGACUAAGCCAGGUAACUCUUGUUUUAUCAACUCAAUUAAACCAAGUACAUUUCGUGCCCUCUCCUGUAUUUCUACUUCUCGGCUUCCUGAUAGUGGACCCAAAGCCACUUCAAUUAGAUUCAACAGGUUCCCAAUUGAUUCAUGUGUGAAACCAUCUUUUCCUAAAGAGGCUGAAUUAGGUAUCUGAGCAUGAGUAACAGUUAUAUCUUCAACAUCUUCUGUAGAAGCAUCUUCAAAGGAUUGAUUUGAAGCCCUUGGGUUGAACACUUCAUCUUGUUGGCAAUCAGCUGCAACAAUUGCAGAAUCAGAACCUGGGCAUUUACUUUCAGAGACAAAAUUGUCAGGAGAUGAGGGGGAGCAAGCAAUGGUUUCCCUGUAAAAGAGGUAGGAAUGUAGACAAAAGAUAAGUACUUUAAAAGCAGACUGAACAUAAACAGCCCUUAUUGAUGGAGGCAAGAGACUAAUACGUGGUUGUAACAGAGCCUCCAUAAGUUCAAAUGGAUUCUUCGAAAAUUCAACAUACUCCCCUGAAACCCAAGCAGCAGCAGACAAUAUCCUGUGUAAGAAAGGGUUACCAAGUAAUGCAGGAUCAAUCAGUAGAUCCCGGCCAACACGAACAAGCUGCAGUCUAGCAUCCUUCACCCUCAUACCAAUAUCAAUAAGUUGAUGCUCAAUCUCUUCACCCUUCUGGCAAUGUGGAAUCCUCGACAUUUCCCCAAGAAGUGAUACAUACCAAUCAAAGUCCUCAAUUAUCUCAUAAACAUUCCUAGAACAAGCUGAUAAAAUGGAACCCAGAAUCUCAUUGCAAAACUCUGGGUCUGAUUUAAUUGCAUAAUUAACCAAAACCCUGGAAAUUUCAGCCACAUUUCUCUCAGACACCAUUACCAUCAGAAUGCGCAGUGACUCAAGUUUAAUAUUGGGGUCAGCAUCACUCAAAGAUUUAAUCACCACCUCCUUAUUCUCCAAAACCGCCCACAGGUGCUUUGGUGCAACAACUGUCAGCGCCUGCAACCCUAGGUACUUAAGAUUAGAAUCAUCAUCCACUAACAAUUCCCGAAUCUUCACAACUGCAAGCUUCACUGCAGACUCAUACUCGGCCAAGCUAGUCACCACAGUCCUCACACACUCAAACAUCAAUGAUUUUGCCCCGGUUUUCCUCAUAUACUCACAAAUUGGCUCCACAACCCUCAUUGCCAACCUUGGCUCCAAUGGUGCUAACUUCCCAAAUAUCUUAACCGCCUUAAUUAAUACCCAAUUGUUCCUAGAAUCCACCAAUAUCCUAUAAAACUCUGGCGCCAGGGGCAGAUAUGAUUUAGGGUCCUUCACUGCCAACUCGCAAAAAACACCCAUUGCCGCAGACAAGGUAUGCGGAUCAGAACUCUCUAAAUUCUCAACCAAACGCUUAAAACAAACCCUAGCCGCAUCUGGGUACUGGCUAAAAACCCUCAAAAUGACCGCCACAGCCUUUUUUCCAAUGGAAGGCUUGGAGCUAGACAACAAAGUGAAGAUUUCCGGUGUUAAUUCGCGAGCGAGGUGGGGUGUGGCGAUGAUGGAGAAGCAGUGGAGGGCGAGGCUUACCUCGAAGGGGUUGGCGGAGUUGAGGUCCUUACGGAACUGAUGAGUGGUGAGGAGGGAGACAUCGGUAGCAGCGUGGAAGGAGUGCGCGGCGGCGAGGUAGGCGAUCUUCUUGUGGGCGAAGGCAGAGGAGCUCAUGAGCUCCACGACGUGGAAAGCGGCCCAAGACAUGUCGAGCCCGUACAGGGCGCUGAGGUAGGUGAGCUUCUGGAGGGCGACGGACUUGGUGUGGAGGUCGGUGGACUUGAUCUCGCGGCGAAUGUCGUCUGUGGAUUUGGAGAUGAAAGUGGGUUCGGUAAGUAGGUUAAGGCGAAUCCCUUUGAUCAGAUCUUCGAGGGAGCGUUGAAACAGAGAAUCCAUGAUCGAUGAACCCAUAUUUCUGAAUUCUCAAUAUUCCUUCUCUAGAAGAAAGAGUUCAUGGUUGAGAAAUGGAAAAUCCGUGAUUUGGGAACUGGGAAAUUGGGAUGAAUUUCCUUUCUCUGAAACAAUUUACUUGGGAAUUACGGAGGUUUUGGGAGGAUCUCUGUGUCUUCUUCCUCUCGGGUUUUCACUUCGAUCCAAGAAGAUGACAUUGUGAAAAUAAUUAGGGGCAAAAUGGGAAAUACAUUGGAGGAGGGUUUAUCACUGUUUGGGCUGCACAUGGGUUGGGCUGGGCCGAGGUACCAUGCGUGGAUUUGGGCCAAGUGAAUUCAAAAGAUUUUGUAAUGUUAUUAUAAGUUGUUAAAAAGGUUAAUAUUCUAACCAAAAUAGAUACAAGACUCCUAAAAACGCUUCUAGUGUGGACAGUUUGGCUGGGAUUAAGGUUAAAUGUUGGAUUUUAUUGAAGAAUUUCUUAAAUUUUACUUGGACACCAUAUUUUCUGAACUUUUACAAAACUAAAAUUAUACUUCAAUUAUAAUCUUUUAAGAAAUGGUAGACCCUAAUUUUAUGAAACCUACUAUAAUUAGAAAAUAAUUAAGUUUUAAAUUUAAAAGAAAACCAUAAAUUUUAAAUUAAAAUAAUUACUUCAAUUUUGAAAUUAAUCUAUCUUUAUCUAUAAUUCUAUAUAAAUAAACAAAAUAACGAAAAGAAAUAAAAGAAGAAAAUAGUUGAUAAAAUUUUUAUAGUUUUAGUGAACUUAAGUAAGAGACAAAAUAAAAUAAUUACAUAUAUUCUUUCUUUAAAAGGAUAUCUUAAAAAAGUAUACUCAUAUUUUUGUCUUAUGAUUGUUAACGCACCACCAACAAUAGUAAGGUCCAGCUAGAUCCCAACAGACAAAAUUAAUAUAAUGUAUUCUGUUUAGCUCGUAAGAUGUAGAUGGAAUUAUUGUCUGCAUAAAAGGAUGUUUAGACGGAUUGUCCGAACACACCCCUCCAAAGCUUUAAUCAAAUAGAGAAGGCUUGAAUAAGAAAAGAAAUGACAACAUACAUUUCUUAUGGUUAAGAGCAAUUAUUUAUCUUUACUCAAAUGUAACAUCUUUUCAAGUGCCUUAACAGUGUCUUUGAUUGCGCAUUACCAUCUUUAAUGUCAAUGAUUAUCGACUCAUAAUGACUAUCACGCCUUGAUGAGCCUUAAAAAUGGGUGUUUUAACCUCAUAAUGAUUGCAUCAAUCAAUACACUUAAUUCCUAUCACAGUUAAUGCUUAUCAGAAGGCGUAUGCAAUGCCAAUUGGUGUUGUAUCCAUCUGAUACCAUAGGAUUAGAUAAACAAGGUUACAUGACUUUUGUGCAGAACAUGCAUCGUUCUAGACCGCACGUCGAAAUCAUGUUAGACGGCGAUGAACGUAUCACAAUGCUAGACGUCCUUUAUUCAUUUGAUACAUAAACAAGAAAUGGAUUUAUGCUUGACGGAUGUGGGGUCCCACAGUGACAUGUAUGUUUUUAAAUAAAAAAUAAAAAAUAACUCUUUAGUUUUAAAAAAGUUUAUAUCACUUAUUUUUUAUAUUGGUCAAUAUUGAUUUUACAUUUAUUAAUAUUUGCAUUUGAUAUAUUAUUUUUUUAACAAAAAUAAAAAUGGAAAAGAAUAUAUUAUUUAUCUACAUAAGUAUAAUUAUUUUUUAAUUUUUAUUUAUUUAUUUAUUUAUAGCAUAUAAGUCAAAAGAAUAUUAUGGUCACACGUGUGAAAAGACAGUAGGAUGUUUUUAAUUUAUUUAUACUAGUAGUGUAUCCACCUGAUUGCAAGAGUGUGUUGUGAAAGGGUGAGUCGAUAGGGUAAGCAAAAUAUUUGCCUUUGUUUUAUUUUACCACUAAUUACAUUAGUGUCUCACAAAUACAAAGUAUAAGAAAAGAUACAAGUAAAACUACGUUUCGACUUUUAUAAUGUAAAAAUAUGUAAAUACGAAAAAAAAUUGGUAGCCAUGCUAUCUUCAAAUGACAAGUGUCACCAAAGGAAGUGUGUUAUUGAAGUAUUCUAAUUUAAAGUUUAAAUUGAAGUAUGUCGGUUCAAAAAUAUAAAAGAAUUUUAAAUUUGAAUUUUAAUGUGAAAAAACCUAUCAAAUUAUUCAAAAUAUUCUAUAAAUGUAAAAAAAAUAUAUAAUUAAAUGAAAAUAAAAAUAUAAGGUGCUGAAGUUGACUUCGUUAACUUGAGAAAAAAUAAAUUAAUAGGCAAAACAAAUAUCUUUUUCUCUUAUCUCUUAUGAUAAAAGUCAAACUCUACAUCAUUAAUUGGAAGUGUCCAUUGGCAGUUGGCGCAAGCCCAUGUCCAAGUUGCCUCGCGCCAUCAGCUCUGGCCCAAAUCGCAGUGACAUGGGGCCUAGAGCCACUGGGCUAUUCAUAAAGCCAGUCUCCUUCGAGAGCAAACCCUUUCUGGAUUAAAGCAAAUCUCUUUUUGCAAUUUUAAUUUUUAGUCUCAUACUCUCAUUUGCUACCAUAACUUUGCCUGGUAUCCUUCCUUUCUUUCCUUCUCUUUCCAAUAAUUCUCCUGAGUCGUUCACCAGCCCCACAUCUUUCCCAACCCUUUUUUUCUCUCUCCUUUGUUUACCAAAUUAGAAUCAAACUUUAUCUUCACCUUCCCAGCCUCCAAACAUCUUCUCAAUGGUUGGGGAACAUUUAUAUGGUUGCUGGGUAGGUCUCCACUUUCUCAUUCAUCAUUAUCUUCUUCAAUGACUUGAACAUUCAUAGAUAAAAGGGUUGAUAUACGUCUAUAGACAGGCCAAAAAAGGAAAAAUGUAGCGUGAUAAUUCAUAUAGAUAGGCUUACUCCAUGAAUGAAAUAUUGUUUCUUUUUUUGAUCAAUUAUUUUUCUGCUUAAAUUGUAGACCACUCCCCUUGGUUCCUGGCUUUAUGGGUCUCCAAAUGCCCAUUAAGGAUAUGUAUGGAGAAAUGCCUUCCAUGGAGGAAAAUAUCUAGAUAAUGUUGGAAGGUGAAUCUGUAAGCAAUACCAAAUAGUUGGGACAAAGUUUAAUUGGUUGUACGUGGCCAUAUGAACCACGCUUGACUGUUACCAUAAUGGAAGCAGUAAAAUCUUAUGCUUAAUAUGGACAUAGAGAAUUAAAAAAUUAUUUAACCAUCCUAGAGGUUGGACCAUAUGACCUUUUUAGCCGAUCUAGCUAGAGCCUAUGUGAUUAACAUGCCAUAUAACAUUACGGUUUAUCUUUGAUAACAAAACUAUUUUUUAUGUUAUAUUAAAAACAAAAAGUUUAAGAUACUAAAAAUUAUUUAUUAAACUUUUCAUCUUAGUCCUUGAAAGUCCAUGAUAAAUUUAAAGUCACUAGAUGAUGAUGGUAUAAAUAGUAAAAUUGAGAUGGAAAAGAAUGAGAUCAAGUACAAAUAAUAAACCAAAGUAUAAGACAACGAAAUCAAAUUUGAUAUAAAGUAACGAGACUUAAAUAUACAUAUGAUAUGACAUGAUUAAUAGUGUUUUUCGAUAUGUAUCAAAUCGAUACUAUAAUCCAAUCUUAUAUUAAAUCAUUCUUGUUCAAUCUUAUUUGAAUACAUGUAAAAUAAGAAUAUAAUCCAGUAUCGAUAAUAUAAUCAAAAUUUAAAAAUAUGAUAUUAAUAAGAAGAUUGCAAAUAAUAUAACCAAAAUACAAAACUUAGGUGUAAUACACCUUGCAAAACUUGGGCACAAUUAGGGUUGCACGAGUGGGCAAGUGGAGUCCUAUCAAAUAAUGGUCAAGUGCACCCAUAUAUCAAGGUGAUAAAAAAUAAAAUAAUAAAAACAUGGUAUCCCGAUAAAAUGAGCACCAAUAUCUUAGUGGGUGUACAUAUUGUCCCAUCUGCAUGUAAAGGGUCCGUAGGAGACUUUCAAUAAUGAAGGAGUACUGCCCCCCAAAUUUGGUUCAGAUUGGGAGGAUUUUAUAUGUAUGCAUUGCCUAGUCACAUGCACGUGAAAAGAGAAAAUGAAUGCCCUUUGAAAGGCUACCUUCCUCGUGUCCUUUCAUGGCAGGGAAGGACAAAUCAUAAGCAUAUGCUUUCUUAAGCACGCGUCUGCCAUUUCAAAAUUUAGGUUUAUCCUAUAGUAAGAUAUGUACUUGUCAAGUAGGAUUUGUGCUUUCGGGUGAGCUUCCUAUGUUUGGACAAUUGAUGCAUUUGUUGUUUAUAAGCAUUUUCAUGUGAUUUUUUUUGUAAUUUUAUAAGCUCCAACUUGAUUAUCUAACAUACUGUUUGUAACAAGGAAUGUCAUAUAUUAAAAGUUCUAAGUUCUAACAUUGUCCAAAUACUUUCUUAUCGGGUUUACUAUUUAUAGAUUAUAUCAAUAAAAUGAAACAGUAUUGUCGGGUACAAUAAUAUCGUUCUUAAAUUCAUAAAUGAUCUAUUCAAAUAAUAACUUUAAGAACAUAUUUAUAAGAUAUAAUUUCAAAUGUGAUAAAAGAUUUAACCUACUUAGACAUUUAUCAAUUUUCAUAUGAGAUUAUUAAAGUUCGAUCUAAAUUUUUAUAUAAAAGUCAAAUAUCAUAUAUUUAAAUGUAAUGUCAUUAUUUUGAAAUUCAAGGAUGGAUCAUCCAAAUGAUAAAUCUUAGAACAAGUUUAUAAAGUAUGAUAUUGAACGUCAUAAAAAAGUUUGAUCUAUUCUUAUUAAAUACUAAUUACUUUUUAAAUAAAAAUAAAAUUUUCAACGCAAAUUUACUAGAUACAAUAUUGAAUAUCAUAAAAGUUUGGAAUAUCUUCUACACACCAAUUAAAUUUUAGAUAAGAACAAAUCAUUCAAAAUAUCAUCAUAUAUAUAUUAAGGAUAAUGUACAAGUAUUUGGAAUCCAACAUUUUCCAAUUUGUCCAGCCGGGAAAAUUUAAAAAAAUAAUUAUUUAUGAUAACAUAUGAUAAUUUUAGUAAAAAAAAAAAAUAUAUAUAAAAUAAAUUUAAAAUCAAUAAAUUAUUUUUAUAUUUUAUUUUAAACUCAUUUAACUUAUUUAAUUCUUUCUUAUAAAAAUUAAACAAUUUUUAAAUAUUAAUUAUAUUUGACUUUCCUUAAUAGUUUUAGUGGUAUAGUGAAAUAUAAAAAAAAUAAUUUUCUUUUAAUAUUUUUUUUCGUUACAUAUCAAUAUAAAAAAAUAAUAAUAAUAAAAAAUUAAUGCUGUUAUCGUUAUCCUUCACAGCCUUUAUGCUUCCUCUAGUGCAUCAUGCACAUAUAUCGACUACUCCAUGCCUUUUAUCACUACCCAUUCAAAAUGCUGCCGAUUUGGACUCACAUUCUUACAGCCAUAAUGGCGGGCACAAACCGAAGAUGCUGUCCUGAUUUUCCAUCUGUGGCUGAUUUGAGACUUUGUUUGUUUUGUAGGAAAAUAAAACCAGGAAAACAAAAUGAGUUUAUAAUGAAUGAGAGGCUGCCUAUGAGCCUAUCACUUAGAAAUAAAGAUACUAAACUCCAUUCUCUACGGAAAAAAAAUUAAAAUUAACUUAGCAUUACAUCACUGCAACGACAAAGCCUGAACCCUUCAAUAAUUCCUCUAAUUGCCUUCCAGCCCCGAAGUGAUGAUGAUUAUGAUUUGAGGAUAAGGAUACGAUAACUCCCAAAUUACUGGCUGACACCACACCCCAUAAACCCGAGACUGAAGAGUACUGAAAAUACUAUUCAGGAGCUUGUCUUCUCUGUGGACAACAGGUCCAAUCAUACUUUUCAAGAAACCCAUGUCUCUUUAUUAAGGUGAUAAUGCCAACUUUUCUAUUUUUUGAUAGGUAUAGCAAGUGCAGAGAAAAAGUAGAGGGAAAAUGACCCAACUAUACUUUUGUAAAACUUCGAGUAUUGGAGAUUGAAAUGUGUCAAGAAGUCAGAACCUCUCCGAGCAAAGAGGAAAUUUUAUAUGUAAAGUAUGUAUAUUGAUUUAUUCUUGAUGGAUUCAUGGUAAUCCACAGAUAGUUAAUAUUUUAUCAAGAAUAUUGCGCCAUGCAUGAGCUCACCUCACGUAACCAAUUAAAGGAAUCACACCCACAUUAAAAGUGGAGCCAGCAGUGUAUCUUUUGAAAAUAUUUUAAAAAAAAUCGUUACAUGAAAAAUAAUUUUAAAAUUAUGAGACUUUACAAAAAUCACAAUUAAUAGUAUUAUUUGUUUUUGAUUGAAUAUAAAAAAUUAAAAUAUUUGAUUUUUUAUCUAAUUAAAAAUAACUCGUUGAUUUUAACUAAUAUAGCUGACUUAAUUUAUUGAUAAUAAAUUUAGAUUGAUAUUGAUAUAUUAUUUUUAAUUAAAUAAAAAAAAUAAAAUAUUCAUUCAACUUCAUUCUGUCAUUAAUUAUGUUAUAUUCAUUUUUUAUUUCAUUUCAAUCUUCUCCGUACACGUGGAUCCCAGUUGCCAUCAAACUAUUAAUGUUCACCUAUGACAAUUGACUUCUCAUAGUAUUCAAUGCAUAUUAAAUAAUAUCUUUUUAAAAAAUUUAAAGUUUUGGUAACCUACUAUACAUUUGAAAAUGGCAAACUAGGGUAAGUCUAAAAUAAAGGAUUUUUCUGAUAAAUUUAUAGUUUUUGUAAUAAAAUGUUUGGGGUCCCAAAGUAAUUUAGGAUACAUAACACUUAAAAAUAUUAUUUUUUAAGUAUAUCAUAAUAUACUGUGGCAGAACACCCUUAUCCCAAUCUUAUCAUAUUUAUUUAAAAUAAUUUUCAUUUUUGACCUAUUAAAAAUAAAUUUAAUAUUUUUAAAAAUAUUUUAAUUAUAUUAAAAUAAAAUUUCUUUUACAAAUAAUUAAAAUGUUAUGAUUUUUUAUAACUAAUUUUAAAAAAAUAAAAAAUAUAUAUAUUUCUUAACAUUAAUUUUAUAUAUAAUCAAAAUGGGUUGGAAUAAGGUAAUAUUUGAAUGGGAGAAUUACCCGAUAGGCUAAAAAAAAAAUUAUCGAGAAGAGUUGGUAGAUUUGAUAAUUCUUCUGAAGGUCUAACAUUUUUAUUAAACCACUUUACCCUUAAUUUCUCAAGUCUAUUUACCAAUUGAGAAGUACGUCUUCUUUCACCGACAAUCAAAUCAAUCUAUUUCAUAAUAUUACAACCAAAUAAAAUUUUACAACAAAUACAAAAUAAACAAAUGAAAAUUAUAAUUAAUUGAGACAUAUUUUAUAUAAUAAAGAACAAUAUUUGUUAGUAUAUUAGAUAUGUUAGGGAUAUGUCAAAAAACACAACUGCCUAGUUUCAUAAGAUAUUUGAAAUUUUCAAAAUUUUACCUUAAUCGUCGUAAUGUUACUAUUUUUGUAUUGUAAUUGUGGUGUAUUUUUAUUGUACCUUUAUAUUUUUAGAUUAAACAAAAAUUUAUAGAUUUUUUUUAUACAUCAUUGAUUACCAUCAACAACUUUAUGUAUUGAAAUUACAAUAGAGUAUUUUUUUUGUCUUUUUAUAAUUUUGGUUUGCAAUGAUGCUUUAUGAUAGGAAUACAACAUGAUAGCCUAUAAGUGCUAGUUCCGUAAAAAACGAAUUCAAUAUUUUGUUAUUUUGGUAUAUUGUAAUAUUAAUGUUUUUUCAUUGUAACUAUAUUGCAUUUGUAUUGUACUUGUACUUUAUAACUGAAGUAAUCGUUAUUUUACACAAUCUUCAAACUAUUAGGCAUUCAACACAUUAUACCAAAAUAAUACUUAUAAAAAAUUCAUAAUAAAAGACAAAGUGGUCUCAUAUAAAAGGGAUUUUAGUUUUCAAUGAAAAUCCAAAUAUGUUCAUAAAUACACAAACAAAGUAGUCCAAAACAAGCAUGAAACAUCUGAGAAAUUUUUUUCUUAUACCAUGUCAAGCAAGUCUCAACAACAAAACUAAAAUGCAAACCUUUUCAACGAAAAUCAAUAAUAAUCAUAUUAAACAAUCAACUCGGAAAAUAAAUUAAAAAUAAAAACACAUAUUCGAUAUGACCAAAAUAAUAUAAAAAUAUUUUUUUUAAAUUAAAUAAUAUUUUACAGAAAAAAAGUAAUUUAUUUCUCAAAACCUCCUUCAAUAUUUCAGACCUACAUUGUUAAAAUUAUUAACAUUUCAUUCCUUCAAUCUGAUUUUUAAAUUAUUUAUUUAUUUAUUUGCAUAAACUGACGUAUUUUUGUUUUUUUUGGCAUUUAAAAAAAAAAAAAAAAAGCUUUGUGGAGACGGUUUCAGAUCAUGACCUAAAGCCGACAAGCUGCAACUGGGUUAAAGAAGACUUUUUUUUUUUUUUUUAAUUGUUGCUUUUCACUUAUUAAGUUUAGUCUUAACAUUUAAACAAAAUAAAGUAUUUGGAUAAAUUAUUAUAAUUUCACCAUACCCUUGGGAUAACUUAUUAAGGGUAGUAUUGACAUUUAAAUAAAAUAAAGUUUUUGAAGGAAUUAUCAUAAUUUUACCCUAUCCUUUAAAAUAAUUAUCAAAUCUACCCAUCCUUCUUGUCAUAUUUUUCCCUAACCUAUUGUAAAAGGUAAUUUUCCCUAUUUGAACUACCAAGAACCAAUCUUAGAUUUAAAAUAAAAAAAAUAAAAAAUCUUAAAUCUAUCCCUAAACUUAUUUAUUUAAAUUUCAAAUUCAUUUACGACUACCCAAAAACCUAACCUCAAAAUGAUCCCUAUAGUCUAUUUUAAUAAUCUAUUAUGUUAGACCUCAUGCCAGCAAUACUUCUCACACCCACGCACGAUCAUAUGUCCCUACAUCAAAAUGCCCUUUCCUUAUAUUUUACGGCUUUGUAACGACUUUUUGGAACAUUGCUGAGCUCAAAUGUUGGUUUGCAAUUUGUUUUUGUACUAGAGAAAGCAGAAAAAAGGGGAGGAAAAGAAGAGGAUCACAGUGAAAAAAAGGGAAGGAAAAGACAUGAUUAAGCCUAAAGGUUGAUUAAAGUUGAGAUGUAACGCUUCCAAAUAAAGAGGAAACAUCUUAUGAAAAGGGAAUCUAUCAUGUUUCAAUUCAAAGAUCUUCAAGUAUCUUAACCAAGAAUGUUUGCUAUGCAUAACCAACACAAGUUAAAAGGUCCAAUUCUCAAUUUAUUUAUUUUUACUGUUUUAAUAAAAUUUAAGGAAAAAUAUGAGAAAAAAAUAGGAAGAGAAAAUAGAGAAAAAUAUUUUAAAUUAUUAGAUUAUUUUUAUAAAACUUAAAAGGAGAAUAGGAGGAGAAGAGAAUAGAAAAAUGAAAAUAAUAAUAAUAAUAAUAAAUUAUUAUUUUUUGUACUCCUUUAAAUUCAUUUUAUUCUUUUUUUUAAUACAAAAAUUAAAUAUUUAAAAAUAUGAAAGUUUGGUAAUCCAAAUUAUUUUUUGUCAAACCUGAAAAACUUAUUGUAAGAUGAUGUAUAGUUUUUAAGGUUAUGUUAUUUAAUCAUUCACAAUUAUUGCAACUCUCCCUUUUCCAGUUUUUGAAAUAAUUGAUCUUUUUGUCCAUGGUUUUUUUUAUUUAUGAUUAUGUAAAUUUCAUAUAUAUUUUUUAAAUAUCUCACUAAUUUGUAUUAUUAUUAUUUUUAUUUAUUUUUUUCGUAGUAAAAUUUUUUGUAGCCUUCGAGAAUCAUUAGUAAGUCGGGGAAUGAAAUAAUUAGUGCGGCAACUACAACAAGUGUGUAAAUAAAAAGACAUAUAAGGGCACUUUCGUUCAAAAAAUUAGUUUAGUAUGAGGACUGAGGCGGUCAACAGGCAGAAGGGUUAGAAACUUGUGAAGGCGUGGGCGAGUCAGGUGGCCGCCAAUCCUCGGCACGCUCCAAACACGUGCCCCUCCAAAUGCCACAAAAUUCAAGCUUUGGAUACUAUCUGUCUUUUUCUUGUCAAUUCCUAAACAACUCUGAUUUCGACUCUUAUUAUGCUUCUCUUCAAUGUUAUGAUGAUAUCAAUAAACCCUAAUUUAUUGUUUUUUUUCUUCUGGAAAUUUAUAAUACAGUUUUCAUUUUUAAAUUCAAAAAUAAAUAUUUAAAAUAAUUUGAGAUAGUAAUGGGUGUUUGUUUAGUGAACCUUUUCGGUAUGUUGAAAUAUUUGUUAACAAUUAAAUUUAAAUAUUAAAAUUUAUUUAAAAGAGAGUUGAUAAAAUGGGUUGGAACAAUUUUUUUUAAUAGGUAUUAUUAAAUUUUUUUUUUUUAUGUAAUUAGUAUGAAUCUCCAUUUAUCGGUUUGUCCAUUAUUAUUAUAAACGAUUCUAUUAUUAUUUUUAAAUGUUUAUAUUUUUAGAGUGGGAAAAUAAAGUUAUUUUAUGUUUUACAUGUGCAGGAGUGGAAAAAUAAAAUUAUAAGGGUCUGAAAAUCGUUUGACUUUUUUGAACUCCCCUACGCUUAAACUAACAAAGCGUGAAAAUUAAGUUAAAAUGAAAAAAUUACAUAACAUAAAAAAUUAUGAUUUAAUAUUUAUUAUUUAAUGACUUAAGUUAAUUUUAAAUUAAAUUAUAUUUAAAUUAUUAAUUUAAAAUUUAUUAUUUAAUUUUUACUUUAAAUAUUAAAAUUGUUUUAUAAAAUGAACUUAAAAUUUAUUCUAAAACCAAAUUGAUAUGUUUAUUCUCAUAAAUCAUAAUUAGGUUAAAACAGAUCAAGUAACGGUGAAGGUUAUAAGUAAUAAAGGAGAUCAUUGAGGUAAUUAUGAAAAAUGAGAGUAAAAAGGUAAAUCGAACGUGUGAACUUAAAAAUAAGUUAAUUGAUUUUAUUUAUUUCUUAAAAUCAUUUUUUACUUUAAGUCAUACCAUUAAAUUAUUUUAUUAAAUAUACUUAAUUUACUUAAUAACUUAAAUUAAAUUAUUAAAUCAUUUUAAGUUAUUAAAUUGAUUUACCAAAUAUAUAUUUAGAUGUUGUUUGUUUUUUUGUAACUUUUUACUAAAAGUAACUUACUCUCAUAUAUUUGUUUUUUUUUUAUUUUUUAUUUAUUAUUUAUUUCUUAAUUUUUUUAAUUGAAUAAAAAAGCUAAAAUAUUAAAUUUUUUUUCUAAAUGUUAAAAAUAAUCUAUAGAUUUUUUUUUUUUACUUUUUAAUAAUUAAUAGAAAUAAAAUAUUAAAAAAUAAAUAACUUAACACUUAAUAUUAUUAAACACUAUUUAAUUUUAAAUUAUAUUUAAAAUUAAGUAAAAAAUAAAUAAAUACAAAUUUAAGUUCCUUAUUUAAUAUUAUUUUCCUUUACCCAAUAAGGAAUCCAAAUUUUUACUCGUAACUUUUCAGAAGGUUUAUACAUAUAGACAAAUGUUAAAGAAAAAUAUUUUAUCCUUAUCCUUACUUUUCCAAAUCCAUAAUUAUGAUGAGUGCAACCUUGUUUACAGUUGUGCCAAAAGAAUGAAACCCUCUGUCCACAUGCGUUUGGCCAGUAAUUGAUUCAUUUUUCACUAUAUACAUCAUAAUUUUAUUUUAUUUUCCUUGAUUAAUCUAUCAAAUUUCAAAUUCGUCUCAAAUUGAUGUUUCCACGAGAAUUCGAUGAAAGUGUAAAGGGCAUGGUGUUUUUUUCUUUUUCUUUUUUUCUACUAGAAAUUAAAAAAAUUGUACAGUGAAAAAAAAAGUGUUGGAAGAAGGGAUAAGUGAUGGAAGAUUGUAAAUCAUAUUUAAAGGUCAUCCAAUAUUUCUAGUUUUCCUCCUGACUGUGAAUUCCACCACAUUCCUCACUCAUCUUAUCCCUUUCCAUUUUUAUCUAUUCGAUUCAUACCUACGAGGACCAUUUAUGGGGAAGGCGGAAAAUGCAAAAAAAAAUUGACAGGUAAGGAUAAGGUCAGUACAUAGUUACAUACCAACCCAAUGUCACGUGCCACCGAUGUGUUUCCAGUGGCACCCUCGAAUCACGUGACUCACAUAAAGCCAAUGAGAUUAUGAGAGCCAUUGCUGAGAUCGGAUAUCCUGCGUGGCUGUUUUUAGCUACGUGGCUGCCAGACAAACUAUAAAAGGUUCUUUCCAGUUUUCCGACCCUACUAGUUAUCGAGCCCAGUAAAACUUCCCCCUCCUUCUCCGUUGAAACAAAUUAAACAAUAGCUCUGGGGAGAGAGAGAGCGGACUCAGCGGAGAACACGACAACAGAGAGAUAGAGAGAAUCAGAGAAUUCUAGAGAGGGAGAGAGAGAGGCUGUAAGAACGACGCCAUUGACGAACAGCGACAGGGAGAGGGACGCCAGAAAAGAAAAGUAGAGAAAGAAAAAGAAAGUUCUGGGGAGAGAAAGUUUGAGAGAGAGUCGUAGAGAGAGUUUUAGAUAGUUUUUUCUUUCUUUUAUUUUCGAAUUUGGACAAUCAAGGGUUUUGAUGAGAUGGCAACGCCACUAACGGGCGUUGCAGUGUUUUCAAGCCACGUGAAUUCGUCGUCUUCGUCUUCCUCCUCCAAGUCUUGCUCGAACAAUUCUGAGCUGAAAUCCCCUAUUCUAAUCUUCUCGUUCUUCCACAAAGCAAUACGUGUGGAGCUCGAUGCGCUUCACCAAUCCGCCAUGGCGUUUGCCACUGGACAGCGGGCAGAUAUUCGUCCCUUGUUCAAGCGCUACCACUUCUUGAGAUCAAUCUAUAAGCACCACUGCAAUGCGGAGGAUGAGGUCUGCUUUCCUUAAUUAUAUUCAUAUUUAUUUGUUUUAGUCGUUUGCUUUAGGUUCGUUUGGUUUCAGAGAAAUUUAGGGAAAAAUCAGUGGAAUUGAAAUUUUCAAUGUCAAGUAUUUCAUUAUUUAAGUCUGAGACAACUGAUAGAUCCACUCAGCUUCCAAAUACAACUAUUUGGCUCCGUUGAAUUUGGAAAUGAAAACUAUAGUGAACUUAAGAUUUCAAAUUUUUCUUUCUUAACCGAAGAUUGUGCUGUUAUUGCUCAUGUUUUGAUUGUUGUUUGCUUUUGAAGUUUGACUUGCGCAUUUAAUGCUUAUUUAAUGCUUGAAUGCUUCUCAUCGGUGCCUUCUCUGGUAAGAAUUUUUUGUUUUUUUUUUCAGUUGUCAAGAAAAUUAUCAAAGGAACAAAGAAAAGCUAUCGUUCCAUCAAUUUAUUGUAUUGUCAUUGUGUUUCAUUCUGGUUUCGCUUGGAUGAUGAAAAAGGAUGAGGAAAAGGAAGAAAAGAAAGGUAAGAAAGAGUUAAGGAAACAAAAAAUUACCGUGAGCUCAAUAAAUUUAUCUCAAUCUUUCACAACUUUUAUCCUCUUUUGUAUUGAGGUCCUUGAGACUGGCUCAAGUUAAGAGGUGUUGGAGUAGGCAUUAGGGAGGUUCUUGGUUCCAUCCCUGAAAUAGUGAGAAAAAAAUCUAUCAAAAGGACAAAAGCCCUAGUAAGGGAGAGUUUGAAAUGUUUUUUUUAAACAAACUUUAUUACGUUAUAUGUUGCUUUAUAUUUUUCAUAGGAACCAAAAUAAGAGGAUUUAAAAUUUCCUUUCUAUUUUUUUUUCUUUCUCAAGUACUUUCCGAGAUGCAAUUGAGACAUUCUUGAUCCAACACUUUGCUAUGUCUAUUUUGGUUUCUUAGAAAGCUGAGGAAAGGAACACAUCAUUUGUUUUGCGGAAAACAAUAUGAAAAAAUAUGGAAUUUCUUUUACUUUGUUUGUUGAGUUUGUGCAUCAUCAAGCUUGUGAAAUUACUAAACUAUUUCAUUAAAAAAAUUUACACAACAUUUUGAAGAAGCCAUGUUCCAAAAACCAGAAAAAAAAGAGUAAUCCUUUUCCUUCAUUUUGAAGAAGUGCAUAACUGUUAGGUCUGUCAUAUAAAAUACAGCAUAGUUUUACGCACUCAUCAUAGUAACAUUUUUAAUCAAUCUGCCACUACACAUCAAGUAGUACAGGGUGCUAACAAACAUAGAUUUGAGCUUUAAGGUGCACUGCUUCUCCCUAUCAACUGCCGUGUGCCUUAUGAAAUGAGCCAGAGCAAAAAUAGAGAAACCACCCUCCAAAUUCCUUAUUUCUUCCUUUUUCACAAAUAUCCCAUACUUCUCUGCUAGUAUUUUACCUUCUCUGGUUUACUCAAGUAUCAGUCUAGAAUCUUUUUGUGGUGUUGUCCCAACUAUCACAAGAAGGGAAAAGAAGUACUUAACACGUUCACUACCCUUUUCUGAUCCCUUCCCAAAGACCAAUCCCAUUGGCAUCCAAAUUAUUUUCUUCCUUCCCACUCCCCCUCUAUUCUACCAUGUUUACUCCCCAUUCUUCCUAUCGACAAAUUGUCUCUUUCUAAAGCAGCAAACCUUCACAAGUUCUGGCAUAAGACAAAAGGAUACCAAAGCACAAGCCUCCAUUCUUCUUAAGUUUAUGUAGUGACUCCCACUUGACAAGUUGCAACUUUGUCUUUAUGAUGUUAUAGAUUAUAUCCUAGAUGAAUCAUUGGAAACUUCUCUCAAGUGAGUUUAUGGGUUCAAGGUUCUGUCACACGAGAAUCAAGUCUGGCAAUUAUUAUUGGCUAACCAUUGUUGGACAUAAUUUUUCUUUAGAUAAUUUGAAAUUCUCUCAAGUUAGUUCAAGGACUCAAGGUUCUGUGGCACGAGAAUCAAGUCUUGUAAUUAGUAAUGGCUAACAAGUGCAGAAUUAUGUUUCAUAAGGGAAGGAGGAGCUAAUAUAGAAGAUUGCUAUAAUUAAUGCAAGGCAUGAUUAUGCUUGAGAAGGAUUUCUUGCCCUUUUGUUAGGUGCCUAUUAAUAUAUUCUCUCUUUGCCCAUCAAAAGAAAAAAAAUGCUUGAGAAGGAUUUCUUAUCCUUCUUUCUUCUGUAUAGUUUCCUACGACUACUACUUUUUGUGUCGUUGGUCUGACUACUUCCUCCUAAAUAUGUUGCUACAUUGGUAUUGAUGAUUGGCGCACAAUGAACUGUUGGGAGCAAAAGUGUGUUUUUAUCUAUACAAGGGUGUUAUCCUAUGUAGGUUUCCCUUUUUGUCUGUAUGAUGUAAAAUUUGGCAGUAUCUCAUAAUGGAGUUUCUUAGUUGCAUACACCACAUGAAUAUUCCACUAAUAGGCAUAAAAGACAAAUGUUCUAAUAAUUUGCAAUCAGAACAAACAACAACAACAACUACUACUACUAGUAUAAAAGGUGGGUGUUACUCAAUCUCAAUGCAGGUUUCCCUCUCCGUCUCUAUGAUGUGAAGUAUGACAAUAUCCCAUAACGAAGUUUCCUAGCUCCACAAGUCACAUGAAUAUUCUCAUAAUUGACAUCUAUAGAAAAUGAAUAUCUUAAUAGUUUACAAUCCAAACUUAUUACUACUAGUACUAGCACCACUACUUUUUUGUGUUGUUGGUGCAAUUACUUUUGCCCAACCUAAUAUGUUGCCACAUAGGUCUUGGUUAUUAGGAAGAAUUAUAUUUGCAGCAACUAUGGUUGUAUGUACAUUUGGAAUCAAAACUUCUACUAUUAUUUGUUGUUAGUCCAACUACUUCUAGCGAACUUAAUAUGUUGCCACAAAGGUCUUCGUUAUUGGGAACAAAUAUAUUGAUAGCAACACAGGCAUGCACUUACACAUCCAUCAUAAACUAUUGAUAGCAAUAGAGGAGGUUGCUGCUGAAUUCAGCUUCUCUUUUUGUCUGUAUGAUAUGACAUUGACAUUAUCCCAUAAUGAAGUUUCUUAGUUGCAUACACCACAUGAAUAUUCCAAUAAUUAACAUCUAUCAAAAAUAAAUAUCCAUAAUUGGCAAUCAGAACUUGCAAUCAUAAAGUCUGGAUUAUUAAGCAUGUGUGUGAUCUGAUCGUAUACAACCAACAUCUUCAAUAAUAAUAUUAUGCUUAGUGUUUUCAGAGAGAACUCUCUCUUUAGCUCAUGAGAAUGCCUGGGGAGAUGACUUCUGUGAUAACACAUGCACCAGAUUUGUUUAUCUUUAAAUUAUUUUACUGGCAAGAUUUCCCUCUCUAGGUAUUAAGUAAACCAAGCUUACAGAAGAGCAUUAAGUGCAACAAGUAUGCUGUGCAUCAGGCAGUAUUUAUAAACAAAUCAGCCAUUGCUUGAUGCAUUUAUAACUAUUACUUGGUGCAUCGCCUAGUUAUAAACACAUUAAUUCUUUCAAACUGAAAAUUGCCUAUUUAAAAAAAUAGUUGUAGAUAAAUCAGUGCAUGAAAUAAAAUAUUGAUAGAGGAGGUAUUGAUUCGUGUUCCUAUGAUUAAUUGUUGCAACUUAAGACCUUAAGAUCUGAGCUAUAAAAUCUAAAUCUUCAAUGACAACCAUUUUCUAAUGGUUGCUGGGAAGAGUGAUCUUAGGAAUGUUGCUUAAGCUCUUGAGAUAGUCCACAGAAGCCGAUUCUUUGUUAUCCAGCUAAAGUUGUUGCCUGAGAUCUUUUAAGUCUCCUCUAUGGUUGUCUAAAGCAGUUCAUUGACCACCUAUGUGUUGCCAGCUAAAACAACUCUGGCAGUAUACCCUUAUCCUUGGAAGUAACAUUUUGAGGAUUGGUGAUCUGUGCUACUACAUUUUAAAAGUUCUGACAGCAUGAUAUUUUGGAACUGUAGGUCAUCUUUCCAGCUCUUGAUAUACGUGUGAAGAAUGUAGCACAAACAUACUCCCUUGAACACAAGGGUGAAAGUGACCUUUUUGAUCAUUUAUUUGAGCUGCUAAAGUUAAAUAUGCAAAAUGAUGAAAGUUUUCCACGGGAAUUGGCGUCUUGUACGGGAGCCCUUCAGACAUCAGUUAGUCAGCACAUGUCCAAGGAAGAGGAGCAGGUAUUUUUUAUUUAACCUUAGUAAUAUUCUCAAUUCAUUUCGUAUAGAGUAGCAGGUGAUUUUUUGUUGGCUUUAUUUACAUUCUCAAUUCAUUUUAUUCUAUCUACUGAACUACCCGAUACCAUAGUGUGAAAAAAUGUUCAGAACAGUAAGACAUGAUACAUUCUUUCCCAUUACCUGGCACUGGAACAUGAAUUUAAUAGAUGACACCAAAGUUAUUUUAAUUAUGGACGAUAGUCGCGAUUUGUUCAUUUAAUAUAAGUAUUGUUUACUUGAUGCUCAUUUUUCUUAAUUCUUCUUGUAGUUUUCUUUAUAACUGUAGUUAUUGAUAUAUUAUCUUAAUGGUUAAGGGACAAUGUUUUCAGUAUUCUACUUAUUUGCUAUAAUUUCUGUAGCAGCACUUGACAGUGAAUUUUUAUGCAAAGAGCUCCAUUAGUUAUGGCUAGAUCCACUAGUUUUCUAAUAAUUGAUACCGAUUCUAGUGUUUUUGAUUAUGGGCACUUCAGUUUUUGUCCUACUUAAUAAGCACUAAUAUUUUACUCAAAUUCAUUCUCGAACUUAGCUAAUGUCUCAUUCUCAACAUUUUUAGCUGACCCUGAGAUUUGCAAAUUUGUGAUUAUUAUAGUCUUCAUUUGGUGCACCUGCAUGCAAGAUAGACUAAUUUCAAAUAAAAAAAGUACAGAAUUUUGGAAAAGAUUUCCGAAGCUUAUACAGGGACCUUCUGAUAUGUAGUACACAUUGCUUCCAGUUGGAUGGUUAGUGUUGGUUUUCAGCUGAUGUUGGUUAAAUAUAGAUAGAGGUUAUCAGUGCCCCAUUUGAGACAGCUUCUUGAUUGUAUAACAGUUCUUUCUAUUUGUUAAAAGUGCUUUAUAGUGUGUUUGAUUACAACUGAAGUAUUUUAAGUCAGAAGAGGAUUGAGGCCUAAAAGAAGAGAUUCCAAGCAGUUUCAGAAUUUAAAAUCCUUUUAAGUGCUUGUAUGCAAGAAGACACAUAACAUAUGCAUAUGGACAUACUCAUGUAUGCAUGCAUGAUUUAAUUUGUGAGGUAGCAUGCUUGGAGGCUGCAUUAGCACACACACUUAACAGUCAGGUGCAAGUGGUUUAAGUACAUGUGUGCUAGAAGACACAUAACACAUGCAUGUGGGCAUACUCAUGUAUGCAUGCAUGAUUUAAAUUGUGAGGUAGCAUGCUUGGAGGUUGAAUUAGCAUGCACACUUAACAGUCAGGUGCAAGUGGUUUAAGUACAUGUGUGCAAGAAGACACAUGACAUAUGCAUGUGGACAUACUCAUGUAUGCAUGCAUGAUUUAAUUUGUGAGGUAGCAUGCUUGGAGACCAAACUAGCAUGCACACUUUACAGUCAGGACUGGCUGGACAUGUUAAUGUUAUGUGUCAGACACAAACUAAGUAUGAUCAAAUAUUUAAUUUAUGAUAUGUCACUGACAAAUGGCAGUUACAGUGGAGGCAUGCAAUGUACAUGUUGGAACACAGCAAAAUUUUGUUAAGAUAAUGCAGGAGUGCAAUUUGUGAAGAAAAGGCAUGAUGAGAAUUUUCUAUAAAAAAAAUAUCAAAUGAGUUGCCUGUUUUCUAAAAAUAUAAUUAGCAAAGCCAUGAGAGUUUUAAUUAUGGACGUGGAGUGUGAAGACUUUACAUAACUACACAUAAAAAUAUUUGACUGCAACUAUCUUUUGCUGUGUCGUUACCUAUAUGUUGGGAAUUUAUUAUGCUCCUUGUUUAUGUAGAAUUGAAUAUGAGUUUGAUUUCAGUGUCCAUGCUACUUAGUCAGAGAAAGGAAAUAAUGUAGUUUUUCUUUCUAUUGUAGAUAUGUUAGUCUUAGAUUUUGCUACAUCUAUAUACCAACAGUAAACAUAAAAAAAUUAAAUCCCAAAAUUAUGGAAAUUGUCUAGACUUAUUUAUUUUGACAAUUUUUUUAAUGGUUAAUGUUUUUUUUCUCUUUGUUUUUUGCUGUUAUAUGGAACUAAACCUGGAACUUCCCAUCCCCAUUCUAAUCCCUUGCCACUUGUGCUAUGCCUCAAAGGCUAAACAGAUUUAUUUUGACAUCAAAAGGAAAAUAUUUGAAUCGUACUGGUUUCUUUUUGGGUAUGACAGGUCUUCCCUUUGCUUACAGAGAAGUUCUCAGUUGAAGAGCAGGCAUCAUUAGUUUGGCAGUUUUUUUGCAGCAUUCCUGUGAAUAUGAUGGCAAAGUUCCUUCCAUGGCUUUCAUCCUCUAUUUCACCUGAUGAAUAUCAGGAUAUGCUGAAGUGCUUAUACAAGAUAGUCCCAGAAGAGAAACUUUUUCGACAGGUAAGGGUUUAUUUUGAGCAUUGAAUCCUUCUCGGGUGUGUUUCUCUGAAUACAUGAGGCUAAUUGCAGCUUUUGUAAUUGAAGGUUAUUUUCACCUGGAUAGAAGCGCGAAACUGGGCUAACACAGUUGAAAAUUGUACUGAUGAUCCUCAGCUCCAGUGUUGUAAAGGUUCUAGUACUGGCACAUUUAUCCAACAGAUGGACAAAAUAAAUUGUGCAUGUGAGUCCUCCAACGUUGGGAAAAGGAAAUAUUUGGAGUCUAGUGAUGUUUUUGAUACCGGUGGGAUACAUCCAAUAAAUGAGAUAUUGCAUUGGCAUAAUGCUAUUAGAAGAGAGUUGAGAGCUAUAUCUGAGGAGGCUAGGAAGAUACAACGUUCAGGAAAUUUUACUAAUUUAUCAUCCUUCAACGAGAGGUUGCAUUUUAUUGCUGAAGUUUGCAUCUUUCACAGGUAUAAUUUUUUUUCUUAUUCUUUUUCUUCUUUUGCUUUAUGGUGAGCUUGUUGAUCAGUGAUUUGGUUACUUCUCUAUGGACUAUUUAAUUUCACUUUCCUCUUAACUAUCAGAUCUUUCAUAUAUAAAAAUGUUGAAGGAUUCCUUACCCUUACUAUUGUGAAAGCCUUUUCUGCCAAUUUGAUUGGUCUAGUGUAAUAUUUCCUUUGACUUUUCUCAUUUCUAUUUUAAUUUAAACAACUUAUUAUUUCUGCCCCAUAUAUAGAGGCACAGGUGUACACACAUAAAGGAAAAGAAUAUUCAUCCUUUGGUGCUAUAGUAACCAAUUUUUUCACAUGGAAUCCUAAAACCAGAAAUGAGGGAGGAAAAAAAUGAAACCUCUGUUGACCCUUAAUCUCACUAGAAAAUUGAUUCGCUUCUUUUGGUUGACACUGGGUGUGUGAAUUAAUGAUUCCAAUCCCUUCAUAAGGAAUCCUAUCUAUGCUUACUGACCUUUCAACUGCUGUAGAGCUUCUAGGACUUGUUCACAUUAUCACCAUGUGAUCUUGUACAGUGCUAAUGUUUCCAUCCUUGAUUGUAUCUUUUCUUUUCUUUUUUCCUAUAGUUUCCUUCCCCUGCCACAAAGAAAGAUUACCAGCAUAAUAGUAGAGAUCACUAUGUUGUUACUUAAAUAAAUUCCUUUGUUUCUUUUCUCUUAGUUUAAUCAAUUUGAGCAACUCUUUUAUGCUUGCAGCAUUGCUGAAGAUAAGGUAAUAUUCCCUGCAGUAGAUGGAGAACUCUCCUUUUUCCAAGGGCAUGCUGAAGAAGAUAGUAAAUUCAAUGAGAUUAGGUGCUUGAUUGAAAAUAUUCAAAGUGCAGGAGCAAAUUCUACAUCAGCUGCUGAAUUUUAUGGGGAGUUAUGCUCACAUGCUGACAAAAUAAUGGAAACUAUAAAGAGACAUUUCGACAAUGAAGAAGUCCAGGUGUGCUUUCUUGUUGACACAAGUAUGUUCCUGGGGAUGUUUGGUAGCUGGUGUCAAGUAAUGCAGCAAACAGAAAAAAAAAAAAAAUCAUGUCCUCUUUGCAUUUUAAAUGGAAAUAAACCUUUUAUUUGAGUUAAGCAGUGAGAUAUCUUAUGGAGGGAUUAUGCAAGAUGGACAAGUGAUCUGAUGUUAUCUUCCUGCUCAAGGAAAGAUGGUGUUAGAAGCUUUACAAUUACUCCCUCCACUGAUUGAUAAGUGUUGCUUAACUUGAGACCUAUGUCACCAAACAUUCCCUUCACUCUAUGGAAUUCAUCUACUGAGGUCCCUGCAUGUCUAGGUUCUUCCACUUGCUCGGAAGCAUUUUAGCUUCAAAAGGCAGCGGGAACUUUUGUAUCAAAGCUUGUGCAUGAUGCCAUUGAGAUUGAUUGAGCGUGUUUUGCCAUGGCUGGUAGGAUCAUUAACUGAUGAUGAAGCCAAGAACUUUCUUAAAAAUAUGCAUUUAGCAGGUUAUAUUUCCAUUCACUAUAUUGUUUAUAAUAUGUAGACAGAUUAUACACAAGUACAAAGCUACACCGAAUAUGCUGCAUGUCUAACUUAUGUGUUUCCUGUGAUUCAGCUCCAGCAUCAGAUACUGCUCUAGUAACACUUUUUUCUGGUUGGGCUUGCAAAGCUCGUGCAAAGGGUGUAUGUUUGUCCUCAAGUGCAAUUGGUUGCUGUCCUGCAAAAGAAAUCACUGAUAUUGAAGAAGAUUUUGUUCGACCACAAUGUGGAUGCACUUCUAACUUGUCUCCUAGAGAACACCCAGUAUUUGUUCAAAUAGAUGGGAACAGAAGACCGGUCAAACGGAAUUCAUCAGUACCGUGCAAAAAUGACCAAGCAACGGAUUCUUCAGAGAUGAUAAGUGCUGAUGAACUGUCUUCUAGUAAUUGGUCUUGUUGUGUCCCAGAUUUAGGUGUAAACGGUAAUAAUCUGGGAUUGGGUUGUCUUUCUACGGUGAAAUUUUUGCGUCCCUUGUCGUUCAGUUCUUCUGCUCCUUCUCUUAACUCCAGUCUCUUUAUCUGGGAAACAGAUAGUAGCUCUUCUCAUAUUGGGUGCACAGAGCGGCCAAUUGAUACCAUAUUUAAAUUUCAUAAAGCCAUUAGCAAAGACUUGGAGUAUUUGGAUGUUGAAUCGGGAAAGCUUAUUGAUUGUGAUGAGACAUUCCUUCAGCAGUUCAUUGGAAGAUUCCGUUUAUUGUGGGGCUUAUACAGGGCUCAUAGUAAUGCAGAGGAUGAAAUAGUUUUUCCAGCAUUGGAAUCCAAAGAGGCACUUCACAAUGUAAGUCACUCAUACAUGCUUGACCACAAGCAGGAGGAAAAUUUAUUUGAAGAUAUUGCUUCUGUCCUUUCUGAGCUUUCACUCCUUCAUGAAGACCUGAAAAGAGCCAGUAUGACAGAGAAUCUAAACAGGAGUCAUGAUGGCAAGCAUCUGAGAAAGUACAUUGAAUUGGCUACAAAACUUCAAGGCAUGUGCAAAUCUAUAAGAGUCACACUGGAUCAGCAUAUUUUCAGGGAAGAACUUGAGCUGUGGCCACUGUUUGGCCAACAUUUUUCUGUGGAGGAACAGGACAAAAUUGUUGGCCGCAUUAUUGGGACUACAGGAGCUGAAGUCCUCCAAUCAAUGUUACCAUGGGUGACUUCUGCACUUACUCAGGAUGAGCAGAAUAAAAUGAUGGACACAUGGAAGCAGGCAACUAAGAACACAAUGUUCAACGAGUGGCUCAAUGAAUGCUGGAAAGGAACUCCAGUGUCACCUUUAAAGACUGAAACAUUGGAAAGUAGCAUUCCUGAAAAAGGUUUGUGCUUUGAUUUCUGUCUUGUUUUCUGGAGAGAGUAAUGGAGCAGUUUGUAUAGGGCAGAAUUUUUCUAAUGCAUUUCAUGUCCAGGUAUCUAUUCCCAAGAAAACUUGGAUGAGAAUGAUCAGAUGUUCAAGCCAGGGUGGAAAGAUAUUUUUCGUAUGAAUCAAAGUGAGCUUGAAUCAGAGAUCAGAAAGGUUUAUCGGGACUCAACUCUUGAUCCAAGGCGAAAAGCAUAUCUUGUUCAAAAUCUUAUGACUAGGUUGGUUCAAAUAUGACAAUCUUUCAUCUUUAUGAAAAUGUUUUAUUCAUUAAUAGUGCCACGUAAUUGAUGAGUAAAUGGUUUAUUUUAGUCGCUGGAUAGCUGCUCAACAGAAGUUGCCUCAAGAAAUAAUGGGGGAAAGUUCUAAUGGUGAAGAUAUACAUGGACUAUCACCAUCGUAUCGGGAUCCAGGGAAACAGGUCUUUGGGUGUGAACACUACAAAAGGAAUUGCAAACUCCGUGCUGCUUGCUGUGGCAAGUUGUUCACUUGCAGAUUCUGCCAUGAUGAAGUGAGCGAUCACUCAAUGGAUAGGUAAUUUAAUUUUGUUUGUCCAUGCACACAUUCAGGUGAACUUCUUUUUAUUUGGUCUUCACUUUGUAGAAAAGCAACAUCAGAAAUGAUGUGCAUGCGCUGCCUGAAGAUUCAAGCAGUUGGACCAAUCUGCAAGACACCUUCAUGCAAUGGACUUUCAAUGGCCAAGUACUAUUGCAGUAUAUGUAAAUUUUUUGAUGAUGAAAGGUACGCAAUUUAUUUUUCGAGGUUAUUUUUUUUUUCUAAAUUCUAUUAUCAACAUCAAUAGAUUUGACAGAUAUGCAUUCCAAAGAAUUCUAAGCACUAUCUGGAGGAAUUUAUUCCUCUACUCAAAAUUGUAUAUGAUGUUUUUUUUUAACCUUAUUUUCUUUUUAAUGCGUUAUUAGGAGGAUGCCAGUUUCGAAUUUUGUAAGCUCUAUACUGUAUAUGGAUAACAUAGGGAACCUGAAAAGGCACUGAUCAAAGCAUACUGAUCAAAUGUCAAACCUGUAUCUUCUUAUCUGUAUGAUUAAUGAUUUUUUCCAAACAGCCCCAUUGGUGUUUAUGAUAGGCCCCAUUUUAAUAAAAAUAUUUUUGUUUUUUUCAUUGAUUUGACAAUCAUUUGAGUGGAUAAGAGCAUCAAGGCUUGUCCAUCUCUGAUACCUGGCUUGAACUCUGAUGAAGUAGUGUGAGGAUAUACUUCUGAAAAGAAUGUAACUGCAAUUAGUGCAAAAUUUUACAGUGUCCUGAACCAAGAUGAGCCGCUACCAGUGUCUAUAUAGUCACUUUAACUGCCAGUGUAGUCAAUGUCAUUGCUUAGUUAUCAUUGUCAUGACUAUGAUGCUAGCACAGCCACACAAUGACAAAGGUUUUCCUUUACUUUCACUAAUUGACUAUAAUAAUCCUGAAUAUAGUUGACUAGUAGCUACUCCAGUAGUCAAUGUAGUUACUUUAAGUUUCAGCCUGCAUUUUCAAAUCUGUGUUAACAAUUCCUAACUCACCAUCAGUGAUUUUGGUUAUAAUGAAAAGAGUGACUUCAACUUCAGCAUUUCAUAUGUUAUCAUUGUGAAGACUAUGAUGAUGGCACAGCCACACAAUGAUAAAGGUUUUCCUUUACUUUCGCUAAUUAAAUAUGAUAAUCCUGAAUAUAAUUGACCACAUUUUUUUUCUGCUCUAAAAUGUGUUUUGGAGAAGUAAUGCCUAUCUUUUUCUGAUCGGAAGCAAGAUAUAAUUAGUGAAGGAAAAAGUACAAGAGAAGGAUGAGAGGUCCUCCCCUCUUACUACAAAAACCACACAAAAGACUAAACACCUCCACUAUACAAGGUUGAAAUAUGCAUAAUAUCUGAUGAGGAAAUUCAAAAAUCAUCUGCUUGAUAUGAUGUGGAAUAUUAACUAGUGUAUCUUUUAUAUCUAGCCUUGUAAAAGUUGUCAUUGGUUAUUCUUUUGUGAUGCUUGUAAACAAUUCCUUGACUUUAUUAUUUUCUUACUUACAGGACCGUAUAUCAUUGUCCAUUUUGCAAUUUAUGUCGCCUUGGGAAGGGUCUUGGAAUUGACUAUUUUCAUUGCAUGACAUGCAAUUGUUGCCUGGGGAUGAAGUUAGUGAACCACAAGUGUCUGGAGAAAGGUUUAGAAACAAAUUGUCCUAUUUGCUGUGAUUUCUUGUUCACAUCAAGUGCUGCAGUCAGAGCUCUACCCUGUGGCCAUUUCAUGCAUUCAGCUUGCUUUCAGGUUUUUAUUAAUUAAUUAAUUUAUUCCUUAUUUUUUCCCGUGUUUGUUUUCAUUCCAUGUAUUUCUCCCUCACACUUAUUUCAUCUUUGAUUUCAAAAAGUAGAUUUUAUUGAAGUGCUUGAACUCAAUCUCACACCCACUUCUGUCAAAAACUUUUAAUAACCGGAUUCCCCAGUUGAGAGUAAUGUUGGAAGUAUUACCUAAAUUCCUCUGACUAAAUAUGAUAUUCUUUCAUGUACAAUAAUAUGCAUCAAUGGUAUGUAUCACAUUUUUAUCGUAUCUUACAAUUGUAUAUGUACCUGUUACACUGUAAAUGAUACAUGAUAUGUAGGAUAAAUGCACAACUGAGUAUUCUUACUAGUUUGUAAGAAGAACAGUUUUGAAAAUUCUCCUCAAAAAGUUAUUGAACUAUUGUUUAGAAGUUCCUUUAAGACAAAAUAGAAGUUCAAAAACUCUUAUUUGUUUUCUUUUGCAAAAUUGGUUAUAUAUUACUUUCUGUUUCAUUCUUUCAAUAGAUAUGUUGUAUGUGUAUGUCAAUCUUUAUAUAUCUGUCUCCAAGAUGUAAAUGUAUCCUAUGAUGCAUCUCACAGGAAUCGAUUAAGCACUCCAUAUUUCAAUUGACAACUCCACUUACUCAUUUUUUUUUCCUGGUUCUGUUAGGCAUACACUUGCAGUCACUACACCUGUCCUAUUUGUAGCAAAUCCUUGGGAGAUAUGGCGGUAAGAGGACUUUUCCUCCUUUUGACUACAUUAAUGGUAGAGGUGUAAUUGCCUAACCAGAUAUCCUAUGACUGCUAGUUAAUUAUGUUCCCUUUGGACAGUAAAAUCUCUGGUUUAAAUUUUUUAUUUAGAUAAUGAGCUAGGAUGAAAAGGGGAAUAAAGAAAAAUGAACAAGGAGCUUUCCCUGCUAAUGUUGCUUCACUCCUCUCUCCCUCUUUGCCAAUCCUCAGAAUCAAAAUGAUUUAUUGGCUCUCACAAUUUGUUAUUGGUAUAUUUACAUUGUUAACUGCCUAAAUCUGCUUUUGAGCUGGGUGACUGGUUGUGUUGGCAUUAUUAAACUGGAUGCUUUCAUGGUUUUAUGAAUUCAUGAUCCAUCUAAUAUUCGAGAAAGUGGAUCCUGGAGAUUGUAUGAUAAAAAAGCGAUGGAGAUUAGCUUCCAUUGGAAUGAUGCUUCUAGGGAAUUGUGCUAGGCACUCAUCCAUAGUCUUUGUUGCAAAUUAUUGAAUGUUACAUCAUACACUAUUCCUAUUUCUACUAGAAUGAUACAUGUUCUCAUGCAGUAGUAUAAAUACAUUUCUUUAAUUGACUCCUUUGGGAGAAGAUAGAGCUCUAAUUUUAAUUGCUUUCCUUUUGUUUUGUGUUUGAUUGAUAAUAGGGGAACUUUAAGUAUUUAUUUGUUCUAUCAUUGCAUUUUUUUCCCCAUGAAAUCUAGAAAUGAGGGAAAGGUGCAAUUAGAGAUGGAUGCACUUUCCAAAACAUAGAGGUGACACCAAUUGAAGACAGGAUGAGGAAAUUUGUUUAAGAUGGGUCUAAUAAAAGAGUAGUUGGACAACCAAUCUUCCUAAAAGAUUAAACUAUUAUGAUUUGAACCUACAAUGUAUAUCAUACUCUCUAACACCGUAGCUCAUGAGGUGCUCCAUAUCUGUACGUGGAAAGACACACAAGCUUGUAGAUAAACAAAUCACAAGUUGCCUUCUUUGGACUUGUACAUGAACUCAAUAAAUUGGAGAAAUAAACAUGUGGUAAGGUUUGAAUUCAUGACCUGCUUCUAAAUAAGGUUUUGAAGCCAUGUUGAACAAUUGGUUUUCCUAAAAGUUUAAGCUGUUAAGAUUAGGUUCAUAAUGUAUAUCAUGCUCUAUAACAAAAGAUAUUAAUUUAGGUGGUUCCAUCAUGUGUAAAGAAGACCAAAAAAUGCACCAAUGAGGAUAAUUUGGUUCAAGUUGAAUUUUGCUAUAGGGAUAAGCAAAAGGCCAAGAUGAAAAUGAAUCCAAGUAGUGAGAAGCAACCCAAUGGCGUGUGUUUUAGUAGAGGAUAUCACACCCUUGAUAGAGCUGAAUGAUGAAAAAGGAAUUCAUGAUUUUGACUCCUAUAGUUGUGAUUUAAGGUUUCGUGAGUUAACUAGAGAUAGGGGUUUGAACACUUGCACACAUGAAAAUUUAGACAGAAAAAAAGGUAGGGAGUCGGAUCAUGUUAAUUGCAUUAAAGAGUUCUAGUAAAGGUCAAUGUACUUAAGAUAAUGUAGAAUGGUUAUUUCAGUAAAUUAUUCAAUGAAGACUAUGUAGAGAACUUAGGUUAAGGAGAACUUAGCAACCCCACCAAGGAUAGAUUCUAGGAAAAAGGUGACUUAUCUGAAGUGAAAGAAGUUUUAGAGAAGAAAAUGGGAAAGUGGGCACCUCUACAUUUUUGAAGAGGUAAUAUCCAAAGUUGCACAAGUUUCUGACUAUUAGAGCAUCAAGCUUAUGAAGUUACAUAAUGAAAGUUAAACAAAGAUUAGGCAAUGUAGUAAUUAAUAUGGUUUUAUAUGAGAAAGAUUAACCAUGGAAGUUAUCUUCUUAUAGGCAAUUGAAAGAAAAGCUUUGGAGAUGAGAGAAACCUUCCUUUGGUAUUUAGCAUAUGAUAGGAUUGUUAUGGAGGUAAUGUGACAUAAGUUCAGAUAAUGCAGUAACUAUCUUCAAAAUGAUGGAGGAAAUUCAAAAGCGUUUUGAAAAUCCUUGGAGAAUCUGCAUGUAGUUCUUCCAUACUUUGUGGUUGAAGAAGGGGAUUCUUGUGUUUUACCUCUUUGAUAGUUGGAUCAGUUAGAGCAUUCAUCCCCUUGCUCCUUUGCUAGAAUAGGAAGGAAAUUCGAAACAUGGUGCGUGGGUUGGAGGGGGGAACCACAUGGCUGGUAAAGAACAGGUAAUCAAAAGGCUGAAUCUUUAGACAAAAUCAGGUUCUCAACUACAUGGGAAGAACUCAAAGGACAUUAGAUUACCACUUGAGGGGCCUUAUCAUGUUCUUUUGGGUGUACGGGGCUUUGGAUUCUUUCAUUUUAUAGUAUUAAAUAGUUUGUUUCUUGUUUCUCAUUUGAAGAAAACACCAAAAAUUUUGAAAAAGAAUAAAAAAAAAAAUUGUUGAGACAGUGAGAAAAGAUGUGAUUAUCAAUGAUUUAAUGGAGAAUAUAUCUCUAGAUAGAGUUGACUAGCAGAAAGGGUUCAUGUGGGUGAUCCAAAUUAGGAUUCAGGUCUUGUAGAGUUGGCUUUACCAAGAAAACUUAAGAUCCACUUGUUUAAAGAUGUGACUGCUAAAACAUUAGUCUAUUUUGAAAUGAAGUCCUUCAGAAACAAAAGAGCCCAUAAGUUGCUAAAUUUUUUGAGCCUAAAAGCACCCACCAUAGCCAGGCUUGUUUUGUGUCAAAUUCAAUUCACUAUGGUGUCUCUAGUUUGAUAGAUUGUAAGAUUAAUUUCCUCACUGGCAAGUAGUCCUUUUUUAACUCAAAUAUUUGGUGGGUAAUAAUGAUUUCGUUGACCUGUUGGUAGAUGGUGAGGUAAGACAAUAUGGUAGAUGUGGCCUUAUCUUUAGAAGUGUAUUCAGAAAUGCAUGAAGCAUGAACCGGAAUCCUUCUUUUCUGGUUUUUCUAAAAGCAUUACAUGUACUCAGGUUUAUUUUGGCAUGCUUGAUGCUUUGUUGGUCGCUGAGGAGCUUCCAGAGGAAUAUAGAGAUCGUUGUCAGGUACCUUUUCUCUAACAUUUUAUUUUGGAAAUGGCUGUCAAAGAGAAGCUCUUCCUCUGAGCUCGCUCUUAAGUUGAAUUUUCUGUCCUAAAUUUUGAUACAUGUGUCACAUUAUGUGGGGAGCUCCAUGUGGGUUGCACUAGCAUUUUAAGCUAAACUCUUUGAGAGCUUGGUUUUCGUGCCUCAUGAAGUUUCACAUUUUUCUAUCUCCAAAUGUAGUUGACCAGCUAGGAAGUGCUUCUAAAAGACCCUUCACUCUCUUCUCACUUUGGGACUGCCAAAAAAUUGAUUACCAGUUACCUGAAAAAAAAUCUCCCAUUCUUGAAACUAAAGGAAACGGUUUCCUCAGGCUCUAUUUCUUUUUAAUGGAAAUAAUUUAGGUGACAAAGUAGUGUUGCAUAUGGUUGCCUCAAUAAUUUAAGUCCAUGUGAUUGGCAGUGUAGACUGUUUGGAACAGUAGUCUUGUGGGAACAGGGACCUUAUGAUGCAAUUGAAGUUACUGAAAAAUUGGUUGGGAUUUGUUUCACUGGUUCAUUUGGCCUUGAGAAAGCAAUGCUAUCAUCAUAACAAUUUUUACUGGAGAUUACAUUGCAUCAUUUAUUCUUUCUGAGAUUGAUUUGUAUAGAAAAAAUGGAGAAUUAUUUGUCCAUUUCCUUUGUUUCUAUUUGUACUCUGAUUUUAUUUUCCAUCUAAAGCUGUAUAAUAUUAAUAUGGCAAUGCAGGACAUACUUUGCAACGACUGUGGUCGAAAAGGCGCAUCACGCUUCCACUGGCUGUAUCACAAGUGUGGUUUUUGUGGAUCAUACAAUACCCGGGUGAUAAAGACAGAGGCAACGAAUUCUGAUUGCCCCGCAUCAAACCAAUGAGAAGUGUCCAACAAAAAUAUUUGCACCAGUGAGCUUGUAAAUACUUGUAUAGUUAAUUCAUUUUCCCCCAAAUCUUAAUACUAGAAUCACAAACCUGCCCAUCAUCACAUCCAAUAUGCUCCAAAUCUACAGCUUUCACUUUUUUACUUAUCUGAAUAUAGAAAGAAAAGAAGCAAUCCAUAGAGUCUCAUGUCGUGAAUUACAUGCAUGACUUUUUUAAACAGUCCGUCCUCGGCCAAGUUCUCACCUCAUCUUUAUAAAAAGCUUGCAUACCGUUUGACAAUAGUUGUCUUGUCUCUGUAGGCAGAUUUUCUUUGAAUUUUGUUCGUUACUUUGUAUCGGUUUGAGGUUUUUUUCUUUUUUUUUGGCUUGGACGGGUCCAACCUACAUUUUUUUCUCUUAUGGUUGUGGCAUCAUUUUGUAUCCUUUGUGUUUAAAUAAAAAUGCUGUGUAUCGUUGAGUUUACAUUUACAAUAUUAAUAGAGUUAGCGCCUCUUUUUUUCCGUUUUCCUUGUGUAAUUCUUUGGGCUUCAGUCUCUAAAAUGGUGCUGAUGCCAUAUGUUUAUAAAUGUAAAUGUGAUCUCGAUUUUAGUUAUAACAUAAUAAGAUUGUGUUUGGAAGCGAUUCUAUAAAGCAUUUUUAGUAUUUUUAACACUUGAAUGAUAAAUUUUUUUAAAUAUUUAAAAUAUUUCUUAAAAUUACUAUCAAACGGUUUUAAUAUUCAUAUCGUUGUUUUCAAUUAAAAAAAAGGUAAAUUCCACUUCAUCCCACAUAUGCUUAAUUAAUAUAAAUUUCAAAUUUUAUCAAUUACUUUUUUUAUUUUAAUUUAAAAGCUUGUGAGUGAAAAUAAAAAUGAGAAGAUAUAUUUGAAGUUUUUUCGUAUUGAUGAUGAUUGAGUGUAUUUAGUCUAAAUCCUAAGAGAGGUGAAUGAGAAAAAACAGUAUAUAAAAAACGUACAUUUGAAUAGUCUUGACCACAAUAUCAAAUGACACCAUUGAUCAUUAUCCAUAGCCUUGCUACUUGCUAUUUUUUCUCUUUCGGAGAAACCCUUGCUACUUGCUAAUAAUUCUCUUUCUACUCUAGUCUUUGAUAUGUUUUAGGGUUUUUGCCCUGAAAACAGUUGUCUUGAGAGAGAAGAAAUGUAUUGAUUGCAGAAAAGUAUGACUUGUUUGUUUAUUCUUUUUUUUUUUAAUUAAAGAAUUUAAUAGUUUUUAAUUUAUUAAUUGUAAAAUGGUAUCUCAUAAUCUGCUUGUUACAAAAUAGGUACAAUACUGAAUUCUUUUGAAAGUUUAAAAUUUGGUUUCAAAAUUCAAACUUUUUUUUUUUUGAAAAAAAAAAUCAAGAGUAAAUUAUGUGAUUGAAAAAUGUUAUUUUAGACCAUUAUUUCAAAAGAGGGCGGAAUAAUGCCAAAAGGGCCGGUAUGACCAAAAACUCAAUCUAAUCUUUGUAACCAAACAAGUCCAUAUUCCACGAGAGCAGUAUUUUUGACUUUCAAAAAAAUCAAAGCCGAACGUUAAACCAUCCCUCGCUGGCAGCCUGGCUCGUGUACUACUAAAAUAUAUAUUAUAUAUUUUCCCGGGGGAUUUUCAGAACCCAAAUCAUUCCAAUUCCGAAGAAAACAAAUUUCCCUAUAUUCUCUGGAAAAUCAAUUCUCUGGAAACCACAUUUCUCCUCCAAAAUCAAACCCCCAACCGUCCCUUAAGCUGAAAACAAACGCAGAAGCAUCCCUCCUCAGCUCCGUUGUUUCUCUCUCUUCAAUCCCAAGAUUCUAGAGAGAGAAAGAGAAGAGUUUCAGACUACAACAAUGGCCAAAGCGCGUGACCGAUCAUCCAAGCCUCUCCACAACUUCUCCUUACCACGCUUGAAAUGGGGCAAUCAGAGAUUCCUUAGAUGCAUGAAACUCUCUCCAAAUACCUCUAAUUCUUCAUCUUCCCUCAUACCCACAUCUGUGAUUUCGUUCCAAAACGCCGAGACCGACGCCAAUGGUGGAAUCGAAGCCAUUCGCCAGAAACUCAUGCUCGAUCUCAGAGAGGCCGCCGACAAGAUGAGACUCUCCAUUUUGGAGGACGAUUCAGAGAGGCCUUGGAAUCUCAGGACUCGGAAAGCGGCUUGUAAGGUCCCCUGUGAGGCGGCUGUAGUGGAGAAAAAGAAGAAAAGAGAGAGACCGAAGUUUUCGGUGUCCCUGUCGAGAGAGGAGGUGAGGGAUGAUUUUAUGGCGAUGGUUGGUACGCGGCCGCCGAGAAGGCCCAAGAAAAGGGCGAGGAUAGUGCAGAAGCAGUUGGAUGUGAGUUUAUUUUAAUUUUAUAUUUGGGUUUUCUGCUGUUUGGUUCCUGAGAAAACAGGCGGCCGAAUAGUUGUGCAGUCUUCGUUCUUGUAAGGGUUAGAGUUUGGGUUUUGGUUGUUGUUUUGUUUUGCUCCCUUCUGACAAAAUUUAGGAAAACAGAAAUUAGGAAGAGAGAAAUUGGAACUAUUUCAGACUUUGAGAAAAGGAAAUCUUUUGCAGGUGAUUAAAACUAAUUGAUCUAUCUGGGUUUGUUCGGAUAUGUUCUCUUCAUAGAUUCAAAAUUUUAUUUUGCCCUUUUUUUUUCUUGGUUUUCUCGACCUCCAAACACAGGGUUGCAGAUUUUAUUCCUCAUGCUUCAUCUGUAUUAUUCUCUAUUUCAUCUUGAUAAUACCUGAGUUUUUCUGGCUUCAUCUUGCAGUCAAUUUUUCCGGGUUUGUGGCUGACAGAAAUAACACUUGAUACAUACAAACUCCCCGACUUACCUGAAUCAACAAAGGUAACAAUUCCUAGUUCCAUUUCUCCACACACUCUCUCUCUAUCUCUAGAUAGUUUUUAUAUUCAUUCAUUCUUCUUUUGAUUCUGACUCUGGUGGAUUACUGAUGUGAUAACUGUUUCUGCAGGUAUAGAGGAGGAGGUUUGGAUGGUUACUCAGAAUUUCAAAUAUUCUGGUCAUAAAAGUUAACGGUAAUAACACACCAUCAAUGUAAAUUGGGAAUGAAGUGAAAUAAAAUUUGAAAUUCCAUUGCAUCUCUCCUUCAUGAUUUUACAAUGCAUUUCUGAAUUCAUAGCAGAAUAAGUGGGAUUCUAGCUACAAGAGAAUGCUAUAUCCGGGGAAUUUAUGUUCUGCGGUUUGAAAUUGAUGCGUAGCUUCAGAGUUUUCAGCUCUUAUCUUGUUGGGACUCAAAACCCAGAAGCAGAGUUUUUUUCACGCUUGGCUUCCCUUCUGUCUUUGAUUUCAGUCGAGUAAAUUGCCCGAUUAUGAAUUAUGGUUGGGGUCGCAACUUGAGCUGGUUGGGUUGGGUAGGGUUUGCACCAAACCUGAGCCCAAUCCAAAAUUAAUAUCUGAAUCCAACACAUUAUGAUUUUUUCAAUGUCAGUUAUUUGGGUUAUAUUGGACAAAUUCAGGUUUGUUUGGGUCGGACCUUUCUAUAAUGAUCUUUUUAACUUUAUUUUUUAAACCCUUGGCCCAAGUUUAGCUUAAAUUGAGUUUGAAUUGAAAUUAGAAAACUUAUUUCAAGUUCAACCCGAGUAUUAAAGCGAUUUGUCCAAACCCUUUCAAAUAUUGGGUUGGGUUUGGGUUGCAUCAUACCAAUCCAUUCAAGUUGCACCCUAGAUCAUGACAUCCAAAUUUAUACCCCAAAAUUCAUGCAGCUGAAAUGAUCUAUUGGCUUAUUUGCUUGAGAAGCCCAUGGUUUGCCUCAUUGUCUGAUAGUUAAAACCCCAAAAAUCCAAAAAUAUUAUACAUGGUAAGUGAAAAUUUUGACAUACCAACCAUCAAAAUAAUAUUUGUAAAAUUAACAAUUGUAAACGUUAUUAUACAUAUUAAGACUAGGGCUUAGGACUGGGCUUGGGCUUAGAGUUAAAUUCCCUGCCUGACUUGAAGGCCCCUUUGAGCCUAGCUAGGGGGCAGCCUGAGCUUGGCUCAAACCCCUACCAAGAGUGCUCGAAUCCAACACGACUCUUUUACACUUCUAAAGAGAUAUUGUAAUGACAUGUUCUCUUUCAUGUACAUCUGUUUUAUGUCCCUGUAAUUUUUAUUAUAGGGAAAAUCUGAAGUAGAUGUACAUGGAGAAUAGCCCACUGUAAAUCCUGUGUGUGCUCUGUCAUUUUUUGUUUCUGGUUUGGCAUUGCUAUGCUAUGGUAUAUACGGAUUUACUCCUAACACUAUGUGGGAUCUCCUUGGCCUCUUCCUAGCACUUCCAGACACAAUCCUGGAGCCUAAAAGCGAGUUGCAAGGACGGCAUCUUUCUCCAAACCACAAAGACUAGAGUUUUUAAGAUCAGCCCAUCUGCAAUCAACUUUAUGAAUAUGACAGAAGAUUGUCUGGGGAAAAUUUUGCAUGCCCUUGUGACUCAGUUUUCGGUCAGACACGACUCCAAGGACAUUCCCAAUAUCAUAUAUUUGUUAGAUGAGGUGGGUGCUUAAAAUGCAAACAGAAGGAAGAAGGAAAGCAAACAACCCUAGUAAUCCCAUAACUGUCACUAGUGGGGAAACUUCAAGUUUCUUCUGCAAAUUUAAAUUUUGAGUCUAGUGCUCAAAAGGUAGCUCAUACAAGCUUGUUAGCAUUUUCAUAAAGACAUCGGUAUAGAAUUCAGAACGUGUGGAUCCAAGCAUCUUUUCUCUUUCCUUGGACUCCCAUUAUUGCCUCAAGGCAAUUCAAUUUUGGCAACAUUCUCAAGCUCACUCAGCUUGACCACACUAUAGAUCCUGUGACUUCUUUGUGUAUAUGCCACCACCAUCCGAAAUUGGUUUGUCGAGCAGUCACAUCCACCCACUCAUGCCGAGAAGUCAGACCCCGUAUCUCUAUUAAGUUCCGACACUAGGUACCCUACACCAUCAGUGGACCAGGACCUGUACAAAUGUGUUCCAAGUCUUAGAUUCAAAGAGUUUGGUCACACAGGAUUGACAGGCCAUCCUAGUUUAGCCUCUAUAUACAUGUAUCAGUAAAGAGAAUAGAGUGGUCUUGCUUCAUUAUUUACCAAGAAUUCACCUUUUUUUUUUUGCUGUUCUAAGUUCUAUCUGAUCUGAUAUUUAAUGCCACAACUUUUUAUCAAUACAGAGUCAUUUUUUGUAUGAAUCCAACCCCUGCUUUAUGUGCUGAAGGCUACAGUCUGGGCACUGGGCACUGUGCACAACAUGAGCCCAAACUGCUUUCUAUUUAGGCCAGUUUCAGGCUGAACUCUGAUAUGUGUAGUCGGUUUGGCUUGAAGUCUUGCCCAAAUCAAAGUCCACUUGGAUAAGGGUUGUGCUACUUCAACCCUGGAAGGGUCCUUGAGACACAAAUGUUGCGUUCAAUGGCUAGACUGUAGAUACCAAAACUCAGCAUUUACCAUCAAAUCUUGCUAACAAGAAGAUUCCACAUCAAGAUUUUAAGUCAUUGUCAGUAUGGAAAGAUCAGAUGUAUUAAAGCAAUCAAACAGGGGACCUUGGAUUUUUAUGACUAUAAAGUCUCAGACUUGCAGUCAGAAGAGGCGGUGCUUUUGUCAUGCACAACCUUAUUUCAAAGAACCUAUUUGAUCCUAAAAGAAGUGCGCAGGCUCAGGCUAAUUGAACUUAUCAAAUGAAUUCUCAUGAUCUCAUGGAAAUAAUCUUAGAGGCUUGAGGCUCUUCUUCCCAAUCCCAGGAAUGUAGAUUCCAUAUGUAGCCUGUGAGAGUUCCUUUUUCUCCAUUGGAAUAUUUCUCACUAGUAACCAAAGGAAAACUACAGUCCAUUCAAUAUACCAAAAGGGUGUGCGACAACAGCCUCUUGUUGGGCCUCGAGACCUGAAAUCACUAACAUGACUGCUCGAAUUAAGCUUGAAAAUCAUGUAUAAGUUUUGUUUCUUCUUCACUCAAUAAUGGUUCUAAACUUGGGGCCUCUUCAAAGCAAAUCCAGGAGGGCAGCCUCCAGAUUAUUACAUUUCACAUUGAAAUUCAUUCUGUUCAAUACAAUAUUGUAUGGUAUGCUUACUUAAUAUAUUGGGUGUUUUCUUUUCUGUUCUGUUCUGUUCUUUUCUUUUCUUUUCUUUUCUUUUUUCUUUUUAAGAAUCUUUUUCCCCACACAAUAAAUGAAUCCAACAAACUCAGUCCAAAUUCAUUGGAUAUUGGUUCAACCAGUAUCGUUAUUGAUAUAAAAGAAUUUUGAAUAACUCCACUUUUCUAAAGCCAAAUGCCUCAGGUCUGCCCAACAAAAACAAAAAGAAAAGGAAAAAAGGGGCUUGCAGUGUCUCAGGACCUGCAACCUUCUCCACAGAGAGAAAAAUGAGACAGUGUCCCAAUAGAACAGUACUCCAAUAAUGUAGCACUUCAUCAAUUAAUUAAAAAUUUUCAAUUUUUCUUUUCAUCAAUUAAUAUUUUCCUUUUCAUACAGCUCUAAGGUUUGACUCUUGGAAUGAAGAAUGCUGUAAAAAUCUUCUUUCCCAACUGUCCAUUUUCAGUACUCUCAAUGGAAAACAUAAGUGCACAUGGAGCCUUUGCAUUUAUGGUCAGUCCCCACAUUUUUUGUACCAAUUCAUUUAACAAGUCUAUAAAAGAUAUCUCCAUUUCUUCAAAUCCUGGUUUGCUUUCUCAGCACCUUGAACCUUCUUUUAAGCUUAAUUUAUUUGCUUUUUAAUGAUAUAAGUUGGACGGAGGAUUAGAAUAUAUGAGUCUACUUAUUUAUUAAUUGAUUUGGUUUCGGAUAUCCAUAUGCAUCUUAGUUCAUUUGUCACCUGCUCCAAUUAAAUUAGUAUGCAAAGAUUUUAAAUAUCAUGCGAUUUGAUCAUGUUAAUUAGGAUUUCAAAUCCUGUGAUUUGUUCCGAUAGCUAUGUUAGAACUCAAAUACCAUUAUUUAUGCAGCAGAAGAUUAGGUCCAACUGUUACCAAUAGAGGUUGGCUUGAAUACCAAGUUUUAACCCCUGUUGGCAUUCCUUUAAGAAAAUACAAACACAGAGGGACUACCCCAGUAACACAUUCAAAAGAAAGUACCUCAUUAGUUGGGCAGAUAAAGCUGAAACAAACAUGAAGAAAUCAAGCAAAUAAAGACAUUUCAUAAUUGAUUUGUUUGAUUGUUUCUUCAUAUCCACUCCUUGGUGCAAUCUCUUUUUGUCUUAGCCUCACAAUCAGAAACACAAGUAACCUAAACAAAUCCUCUCUUGUAAAAGGAGAGAACAACCAAGUCAAAAGUAUGCAUAUAUGUACAAAACAUGCAUAAACAAACACUAAAAAGCAGCUUUGAAAUAAACAGAAGAAACCCAUCUCAUGAAGGGAAAUCAAAAAGAGAAGAAGAAUAAGACAACCAUGAAACAAAGGUACCUGUUCUUUGUGUCUCCUAUGCUCAUAACAUGUGAACACACAUCAACAUGCCCAAGACUCUCCAUCAAUAAUAUUCCUCUGAAUUAUCUCUUGAUACAUUUUUUUUUUCUACUGCACAACUGGCUUUCUUAGAUUUCUUCUCCACUAACCUCUGUAAUACUUGAUUUCAAGUUGUCUCAUGGACAAACAACAUGAUCAAUCCAUAGUUUUUAUCGAUGACAACAAGCUUACAGUCAUUUCUUACUCUUCUUCUCUUUUCCAUUGCGAAACAAAGAGCCCAAACCAAAGAGAUUUGCAGUUCCUUUGGAAAUAUAUGCAGGAGACACGUUUAUUACUGGGCUAAUCCAAACACCAUUGCCAUAAGACCCUCCAUAAUUCUUCUUCAAGGGAGGCUUCUGUGGCACUGGAUAGGUAUAAAAAUUAGUAGAAGAUGCCGAGGACGAUGAUGAUGAUGACUUUGCCAUUGAUGGCUGCUUCUGUGAAUUCUGCUUGGAUGUUCGCUUUGAAUUUUGUACCGAACCAGUUGAAUUGCUUCGCGAUAAAAGUGGAAGAGAGCACAUUAAGCUCCUCCUAUGAACAUUAUCACAAUUGAGACUACUACUCCUCUUGAAUGGCCAAAAGGACUUGGAUGAUUGAAGCUUCUCCUGAGACUCACAGCUUGAUACCGCGAUCCCCUUUGAGCUCUCUUUCUUCAAACUCUCAUUAGUACUAGGACUAGGAAGAGGAGGAAGCGAAGCAACAGAUCUUGGAGCAACCGUUCUUUCCUGAAUUUUGAUGGGAAGGAUGAUACCAUUUGAGAAAAGCUCAUCAGCUGAGGAGGACUCAUGCUCAAAGCUGGUGCUGACACAGAAAUCAAAAUCAGGACUCGAGUCCAAGCUGGACAAUUCUGAAUUCCUAGAUUUGCAGUGAUCAAUGGAUGCAACAUCUGCUUGACAAAAAUCAUUAGAAAAUGAAAUUCUAGGACUAGUUUCAGAGCAGAUGUUGAUUGCCAUAGCCACUAAACAAAUAAAAAAUGAAAGAAGGAAGAGGGUACAAAGAACAAAGAUGAACAGAAUCAAGAAAAAAAAAAAAAAAAACCUGUUGAAGGGUUCGAAAGAAUUGAGGUUUUGUGGCACCCAAAGCGAAAAAGCGGCUAAAGAUUCAAAAGUGGAACGCUAAGAGGGUCAUGGAAGACUUGGAAGAUAGAGGCGGUUGGAGGGAGAAAGAGAAGUCAAAAAGAGAGCUAUGAAGACAUGUGCAGAGGCUGUGGACAAACGGCACCAGCCUUUUACAAGUGUUGAAGAUUUGAGUGAUUCAGAGAAGAAUCUUGGAUCAGAGCUAUUUGAAUUAUUCUCUUGGAGAUGAAGGAGUUAUUUCCUUCCGUGUAUAAUUAAACUCUGAGACGAGGAGGAGAAGGGAACAAAAGAUACUUUAAGCUUGCUUCUUGGAGGUUGCUGAGAAAGAGAGAGAAAGAUUAACCUGUAAAAGGUGGUUUUCACAAGACUUAACUUCUUACAAAGGCAAGCAAAAAACACUACAACCCAAAACAGACAGAAACAUAAGUUGGAUUAGAUAGACCUCCCAAUUGCUAGGAUGAAAAUAGAAAGAAAAAAAAAUUCAAUCUAUAUAACCAAAAAAACGUUUAAAAUGCAUUUUCAGAAAUUGUUUUAAAAAUAUUCUUCAAAAAAAUGAAUCUUUUGUAGAAAAAUGUGUCAAUUGUAAGAGUCUAAAUACGUGUUUUUUGUGUCAAGAAAAAAACUUAUGAGUUUUUGGAAAAUUAAAAAAUAUCAAAAUAACACUCAAAAAUACAUAUAAUCUUCUUAUAGAACCUUUCAUUUUAUUUUCCGAGCAUCAUCACCUCCAUCAUGUAACCACUAAAUUCUAAGAAAAAAAAAAUUGUUUUACAAUUAUUUUUAAGAAUAGUUUUUAUUCUUUAAAAUAAAAAAAUCAGAAAAUUACAUUUAAUAAUCAAAAACUUUUUUUUUUAAGGACAUAAAAUAUAGUGUUUUUGAAAACAGUUUUAUUUUUUAUUUUCUAGAAUUAAAAUUUAGGAAAACAUAUUUGAUAAUCAAAAAUCAUUUUUUUAGUUUUUAGGAACAUAUCAAAUGAUAUUUUUAGAAAAUAUAUUUUAAUUGUUUUACUUUAUUUGCACUUUUUUAAUAAAAAUGAUUUAUGAAAUAAAACAUUAGAUAAAAAUAUUAUUUUUAAAACAUAUUUAAAAUCUUAAAAAUAAGUUAAAUUUUUUUUAGAUUUUUAAACAUAUUUUUAUUUAUAAAAUAUCAUAUCAAAAGAUAAUUUAAAAAAGCCGUAUCAAAAACUAUUUUUAAAAACAUUUAUCAGGAUAGCAUGAAUUUCUUAUGAGCAAUGGAAGUUGAUGGAUUGCUUUUAAAAAACAAGUCACGGCUGGACUGUUUUUUUAUAGCAAAGAGAGUAGGUGAGAUUACUUGUCAUAUUGAUUGACUUUUUCUGCCCUCAGUCCCAACUACCGACCUGCCCCUUUCUCCUUCCUCCCUUCUCUUUUUUUUCAACAUUUUCUCACCAUGAUACCUCACCCUCACCUCCUUUUUCAAAUUUUCACUUUACCUAAAGGAAAGAGCUUUGGACAUUUUUGCUUUCGGGAAGAAAACAGCAAUCGGACAUUUUUGCUUUCGGGAAGAAAACAGCAAUUGGACAUUUUUGCUUUCAGGAAGAAAACAGCAAAAGGGUACUUUCAAAGAUCUUACAAUUUAUUUAUUCAUAAGACAAAUGUACACUUUGGAAAUGUUUUAAUUAUGAUUAAAAGUGUUUUUAGAACUAUUGGAUCACACGUUAGACAAUUUUAAAAUUAGAGGGGUUAGAAUUUAGAUCUCUUUGUUCUAAAUCUUUUUCUUUUAUGAUAUGAAUAUGAAAAAAAUUAUCAAAGUUGUGUAUUGAAAGUGCAAAAUGUCAUGCAUUGAUAUAAAAAAAUGUGAUAUCCCACAUUAAAUAAGGAAGAAAGUUUCUAAUGUUAUAUAAGUAUGUUUUAAAGUUGUGAGGGUCUUUUGAGGACAAAGCAAAUAACAUUUAUAUAGUUGGAUGUGAAUCAUUAUAAAAUGGUAUCGGAGUCAAUAUUCGACCCUAAUGUGAGGUUUUAUUUGACUUCGUAAUUUCAUGGGAUACAACGAGAACUUUAUGUCUACAUGGAGGGUGUUUGUGAUAUCACAUAUCGGACAUUAGAUAAGGGAGAAAGUUUUUAAUGCUCUAUGGACUUAUUUUAAUUAUGUCAAUACAUUUUAAAAACAGAUAAUAUCUAUACCAUUGGAUCGUUACAAAAAAUGUUUUUUUUCCUAAAAAAAAUAUUUUUUUGAGAUUUUUCGUCAAAUCAAACUCUAAUACAAUUUAAAACUAUUAAUUUUCAUAAAAGCUUAAACUUGCGGGAUUUGAGUUCCGUAUGUGUAUCAUGUUUUUUUAUUAUUAAAAAUACCAUGAUACAUGUUUGAAAAACUGGGAUCUCUAGUAGUUGGGUUGUUCAAUCAACGAGGAUAUAAAAACACUCAUUAUAUUAAUAUUUGAGAAAAAUGACAAUAAUAAUUGUAAGGUAACACACAAUGAUAAAAAAAAAUGGAGAAAUUAACAUUUCCUUCUUCAAAUUCUAGAUUUCUUUUAUAUCCUUUAGUUUGGAAUUGGUAUUGGAAGGAUGCAAGUGCCUUUUCAAUAACACUAAUACAUAAAUGACUUUGUAUCCAAUAUUUAUACAAAUAAAAUAUUUUUAUCUUAUAUAUAAAAAAAAAUUGGUGAAAAUAGCAUAUCAACUCCUACUUCAAUUAAAAAGAAAACCUUAAAUCAUAAUAAAUGAGGAAAACUAUUAAUUUAAUUAUGUCAACUUAAGAUGAUAGAUUAUUAAUUUCUAGUGACAUUGGUACUCAUCAUUAAAUAUUUUAUCAUACAAGUAACUCUCUUGCCAAUGAGCAAAGAACCAAUGUAUUAUUAUAGUAUGUCAAGUUAGGGUUUAGCUUUGAACUUUUGCCUCAAGUUAUAGGCAAAGUAAAAAUAGAAAUAAUCACUAUCAUUCUAUAAUUAAUUUUAUGUUGGGAUAAAAAAUUGCUUUACACAUUAUAUUUGAGGAAAUUACUCCCCACAUUUAAGAAAAACAUGAAUCUUAGUGUUUUAAAAAAGUUAUUCAAACGUUUAAAACUAUAUACAUUUAUAUUUCAUCUUCUUGUAUUUUCUUUUAAUGUUUAAGAAUAGGCUUUUAUUUUGUGAUCUAAUGCUUGAAAAGUUAAGGGUUUGUAUGAUAAAUAAUUUUUUAAAUAGUUUUAAAAAUAAUUUUUAAGAAUAAUUUUUUAAAGUUUUUUUUUCAUAUUUUAUACAACAAAAACCUAUUUGAAAAUUUGAAAUAUUUUUACCUUAUUUUUAAUAUUUUUAAAAUAAUUUUUAUAUGUAAUGUUUUAUUUUUAAUCGUUCUAUAUAUUUAUAUAAUAAUUUUUUAAAAUAACUCGCAAAAAAUAAUUAAAAGAUAUUAUUUAAAAACACCCAUUUUUUUGUUAUUAUGAAUAGAAAACAAUUUUAACGUUUUUUUUUAAACGGUUGUCAAACAAGCUUUAAGAUUUUGUUUGGGAUAGUUUUCUAUUUUUAAUUUUAGCUUUAAAAAAAUAAAGUUGUAGUCAUAAUUUUCAAAGGUUAAUAUCAAUAUUGUAAAUUUAUUAUUAAAUAUGAAAUAACUUUUUAUAUAAAUUAAAUAAUUUUUUUAUAAAAACAAUAUUUUUCUAACUUCUAUAUUAAGUUAAUUUUUAAGACAUAAUUAACCCAAACCGGUAUAAAUUAAGCUUAAAAGGAGCCUAAAUAUUAAACUUCAAAAAGCAUUUUUAACUUCUUAAAAAAUAAUCCAAAGGGCCUAAAUAUGUUUUUAACUAAAAGGAACCUCUCAUAUCUUAACAUUUCUAAGAAAAUUCAAAACAAAAUUUUAAUUUAAUAUUAAAAUUUUAAGUUUAUUUUUUAUAUUGUUAUAUUAUAUAUAUGUAUAUAUGAUUGUGAGCAAAAAUAUUACACAAUAUAAUGGAGAGUACAUCUAGUUGAGAGGCUAUAGAUUUUUUUUGUAUUUCCACUUGCAGACAUGUAGUCCAUCUUCUCUUAAAAUAAUUUACACAACAAAAUAAAGCAUUGGAGGAAAGAUCUUAUAUUUUGACGAUUCUCCAUCUUCUCAACCCUUUUUAAUAAAAUGAAAUCUGUACUUAUUUGAAGAUAAUAUAAGUAAUUAGUGAGUGCGACCGAGAAACCGAUAUCUUUUGAUAUUUAAAUUAUAGGAGGGAUAAGUUUUAACGCAAUCCGUCAACACUAGAAAAUGAUAUGGAAUUAAUGAAUUUGAAUUCAGAUUAAAUCCCAUUUGAUAAUGAUUAUAGAAAGGUUUCUAAUCUU